rnacentral:lncRNA from 1 species
UUUUUUUUUUUGUUGACCCGAGUCGGAAAACUCCGUCGCCGACGCUAUGUGAGGCCGACACGUGACGCCUAGGCCCACGUGCCGGCCUCACAUCGACGACGACGGUGUUUUCCAACCUCGGACUAUUUUCGCGAAACAAGAGGGGAGGAGGACGUACUGGUGACGAUGCCGGCGCGGUCGCGGAUGAGGCGGGUCCGGACGAUGCCGGGGUGGACGCAGUUGGCCGUGACGUCGGCGCCCAUCUCCCUGAGCCGGCCGGCGAGGGCCGUGGUGUGGAGCACGUUGGCGAGCUUGGAGAGCGCGUAGGCCCGCGUCGGAUCGUACGGCCUGCCAUCAAGUUUGCACCAGAGCGUUCACGUGAAUCUCGAAGCACCAUAGAUGGGUACUACACACAUAGUAAGUGCAUGCUGUGGUGAUUAAUCAACAAGGUAACAACGAACGAACGUACGUGGCCUUGCGGGUGACGCGGCGGAGGUAGGCGAGGGGCCCGUCGUCCUCGGCGCCGGCGGCGAACCAGGCGUGCACGGUGGAGGAGACGUUGACGAUCCGGCCCUGCACGCCGGUGGCCCUGGCCGUGUCCGCCAUGGCCGGCAGCAGCAGCUUGGUGAGCAGGAAGUGGCCCAGGUAGUUGGUGGCGAAGGUCAUCUCCACGCCGUCCUCCGACACCGCGAACCGCUCCGCGUACUGCCCCGCGUUGUUUCUGCACGCACGAUCAGCUCAGUCAAUCACGGCGAUCGCCGGCGACGGGGACGAGGACGUGGUGGAUCGACCGAUUACAUGAGGAGGUUGAGGGGGAGGCGGAGGGCGAGGAAGCGGGCGACGAAGCGGCGGACGGAGCCGAGGGAGGAGAGGUCAAGCGGGAGCACCACGACGCGGUCGCCGUCCGGGACGGCGAGGAUGCGGGCGCGGGCCUCCUCGGCGGCCUUGAGGUUGCGCGCCGGGAGCACGAGCCGGGCGCCGCGCCGGGCGAGCACGCGGGCCGUCUCGGCGCCGAUGCCCGAGGUCGCGCCGGUGACGAUGGCGGUGAUGUGGCUCAGGUCGCCGGCGGGCAGGGUGGCCUCCUCGGCGGUGGUGCGCGAGCCGUAGCCGCUCGGGCCGGACGAGCCGGCCAGGUACCUCAGCGAGCUCAGCAUGGCGCUCAUGGAGGAGGCUGCAGAGGGUGAGAGAGAGAGAGAGAGAGAGAGAGAGAGAUGGGUAGAGAGCGGUGUGACCGGUGAGGGAGGAGGAGGAGGGGGUAUAAAUAGGCGGCCGGCCGGAGAGGUGAAGGAGAUGGAGCUCCGUCAGUCCGUCGAUGGCGCGCACGCACGCACGGUGCGCCGCUGAGUUGCACUAGGAGGUGCUCUGGAAAGCGACAUGCACUGCAGACUGCACGUACCAACGAUCGAUCGAUUUCUCCCUUGUCCAUUAAAACUUCGUAGAUCGCGUCAUCGAAAAUAAAUUGACCCUCAAACUGCAUUUUAAUAAAAAAAAAUGAUUGAAUGAUUAGGAAAAUAGUGAUAUUCCAGGCCUGCUGGAAACUUAAUGGCACGUCGUAUGAUGCUCACAUUUUCUAGAAUUUACCCUUAAAUUGUACUUUAAGAACUAAGGUGUAUGUAGGGAGUUCGUCAAUCUCAAAACGAUGUACCAAUUCGGUCUUUUGAAGGUACUCAUAAAGGCGAAUAUAUAUGCAAAUGUAUGAUCAUCUAUGUCUAUACUGUGCUAAUUCUUUUUACCUUUGUUCAUAAGGAGAAAAGGAGAUUGACUGAUUGCAAUCGUCUUGAUUCGGAAUAGUUCUGACAGGCACACCUAGCAUUACAAAUGUAGGCCUUUUUUGGUUUGAAGGAAUUUUGUAUGAAUUUCAUAAGAUAUAAUUUUCAUAGGUAAUUUUUUUUUAAACCAUUUGGUUUAGGAAAAAGUCCAGAACGAACCUUGAACUCGUAGGGGCUAGCGAAAUCGAACCCUGAACUGUCAAUCCCGGUAAUCGGCACUCUAAACUCUUUGAUCCCGGUCUAAUUCGAACCCUGAUGCGAUUUGGGGGUGGAAAACGCUGACGUGGCCAGGAUUUGCAUCAGAUGUGGGCCAAGGAGGCGAGCUUACUUAACCGCAGCGCCAGUUCUAACCGUUAUGCUAGUCUGAGACGAAAGAAAAGGGGAUCGAGUUCAUCCAGUUCUUGGCGGGGCAGGCGAUUUGGGAGUGUGGCGGCGUUGCGGCGCACGGCGGGGAAGAAAAUGUCGUGGUCUAACUGUGAAUCUUCCGCGCCUGGCUUCCGAGGAGCUUCUGGGAGAAGGAGGGGCACAGAGGCGAGAUCUCCGGUGCCAUACCGCCAGAAUCCGAUGGCGUAUGAACCGGAGGUGUUGUGCCAUUGCAAUCCGAGGAGGAAGGCUCCUAGAUGGAUAUCCUGGAGUCGUGCGAACCCAGGGAGGCGCUACUACUCUUGCGUCAAUGCAAUGGUUCGAUCUCUGUCUCUCUCUGAUUGUUUCUACUUUCUAUCUCAGAUUUUUUCCUGAUUUGCACCUUGCUCUCUGUGAUUGAUUUCUUGCACAGAAUGGAGAUGGAUGUGGGUUUGUUCAGUGGUAUGAUUCUCCAUUGCCCAAGUUUUUUAGUGACUUGAUUGGUGAUCUGCGUGAUGAAGUAUGGAGGCUGCAUGGUCAAGACAAUGUGCCUCCUGUGUCAGUAGAACAAGUGGAAGAGUGCAGAGACCAGUUUGUGUUAGUAGAGCCUACUGUGAAGGAUCUGCAGGAUCAGCUAAAGGAGAAGAGUGCAGAGAUUGCUGCUUUGAAGGGAAAAUUUGAGAAAGUGGUUUUCAUUGUACUUGUCUUUGUGUUUGGAGUAGUGGCUGGGAAGUUGUUUGCAUUUUAGCUUUCUGUGCUAGGUUUAGUGGCAGAGAAGGAAUGUAAUGUGCUUUUGCCAAGUUUAUUAGAAUGUUGGAAGUUUGUGCUCAGCAUUGGAAAGUUUAUUUCUUUGCAAUUGCUUUCAUUUUAAUUUCUUUGCAAAGUUUGUGCUCAGCAUGGCAAGGAACAAAGUUUCAGUACAUGAUUACAAAUGAGACAAUCUGACAACAAAAUAUAUCAUGAUUUAAAAGGAGACAACUGAUGAACCAAGUUUGAAACUAACAUUUCAUCACUGAUGAACCAAAUUUUUGCACCAUUACAUGAUCAUACAUCUCACCAAAAUAAGGUGCAUCACUGAUGAACCCUAAUGUUUGCACCAUUACAUCACUUUUGACAAGCACACAUAAGGAUCAGUCCUGACCACCACUUCCUGCAGUGAAGUACCUAUAGCUGGGAUAAUCUUCAGCAUCUUUUCUGCCCCUGUGCCUUGUUGCACCUCUUGCACCACUUCCUGAUGCUCCAGUUGUCUGCCUUGGUGGUCUAAACCUUGAUGGUGCAGUAGUAGCUUGACCAGCAGAUGCGUUAGUAGCUUGACCAGCAGAUGCACUUCCAGACUGUGAUAUAUAGCAGGUAUAAGCUUAAUCAGUAACAAUUUAAAAUGAACUGUAAGAAAAUAGCAGUACAUAGCAGGUAUAAGAAAUGAAUUACCUCUGAUGCCUUCCUUUUCUUGGUAGUCUUAGUCAGGUGUGCAUUUUUCUUCUUACCUCUUUCUGGGUUUUUCUCACAGCUUGACUUGUUGUGGCCUGGAUUGCCACACAUGGAGCAAGCAAUGAUAGUGCCAUGUCUGGUCAUUCUAUUGGAAGGCUUAGGUUUCUCAGUCUCUUCCCUCUUCCUGUGGUUCUUCUUAGGCCUACCUGGCAUUUUCACAUAUCCAGGAGCUAUUGGCCUUAGCUUCUCUGAAAUUGGCCACAUUUCAGGGCCUUCCACAGGCUGGAGACAGUGGUCAUAUAUUUUGUUGAACACAUCAACAGAGUAGCAAGGAUCAAUGUAGUCCUCAACUAGCUUGCCACACUUGUAGAUUGCUGUGAUGGCAUGAGAGCAAGGAACCCCUGCCAGCUGGAAAUAGCCACAUGAGCAUGUCCUUUUGUCAAGACUCACAAUAUAUUGUCUUUUUCUCCCUGUCAACAGCUUGAUUUCAAAGCCAUCUUUCCCAUUCCACAAGACCUCCAUGAAUUGGGUUCUAGCUAUGCUUGUCUUCAACUUUUUAAAUAUGCUUGGGCAUAUCUUUCCAUGAAACUUCUGUCCUUUGGCCCUUUGUUCCUGAAUUCUGGUAAAUACCUUCUUCCUAAUCUUCUCUUGCAUGGAUAUAAUUGGGUAGAACCUUGCUUCCACUAUAGAAUGGUUGAAGGACUCACAUAAGUUGUUAUCAACUGACUCACAUUUGGAACCCACUUGGAAAUAUGCCCUUGCCCAAUGUGUUGGCUCUGUUCUCAUCAUGUCCUUUGCACCUUCAGGUGUUUCCUGUGCUAGUUUUGCUUUAUAAUAGUUGAAAUCUUGUUGGUUAGAUGCUUUGGCUGCUUAGCUGGGCUCUUAAUCACUUCAGUUAUCACACCACUUCAAUCAGUAACAAACACAUCAUCUACUAACUGCACAUAUUCCUCUUCUUCUUGAUCUUGAGCUGGCUCUGCACUAAUGAUAUGAUCAGGUUGAGAAGCAUCAGAUUCACAUAUGUCCAUUAAUUCAUCUUCAAAGUCACUGCCACUACUGUUGUACUUAUCCUCCUCUUGAUGGUACUCAAUAUAGAUAUCUGCUACUCCUCCCACACAAAUAUAGUCUGCCAUGCUCAUACAACCACUGUCAUCGUGCAACAACAACAAUCCAUUGAUAAGCUGUUUACCAGGAAUAAGAAAAUACAACUUCAUCGAAUCCUUGACCUCCAUAUGAUCUUUAAGAAAACCUUUCACUUCCUGAAACGAGAGCUUGUCCCUCUCGAUCUCUGACAUCUCUUGAUCGCCCCCCACAUACUCCAAAUUAGAACCAUGGCGGACAAACUCCCCUCCAAUAUGAAAUCUCACAUUCAAAAUCUCAGUCGGGUCCAUGAUGAAACUGAAAUGCAAAGGAAAUAAUCACUCACGGAAGUAAUCAACCCUAAAAUCGACCAAAAUCGGAGGCAAAAACCUAGCUUUACCAGCACCAGAAAAAAAAACCAAUAUUCCCGCCUAAACCCUAACCCUAAUGCCACAGAAAGGCUCCGCACUACGGCUACAGGACGAGGAGAUGUCGGAGAACUUACAUACACCGUUGCUUCUCAUCGCGCGGUCACGAUCGUCGCCGCUCCGUUCAUCCGCCCGUCGCCAUUGCCGCCAUUGGAGCAGAGAAGGAGACGGGGCAGAGUGGAGAGACUGGACUGGUCGGGCUACAGAAUGGGCAGAUACAGUACUCUACCUGGGCUGCAGAGGAUAAGCCCAUCUUCUUUCGGCCCAUAAGCGCGACGGACCGGCCGAAAAACUAUCUCCCACAGAAAUCCCGGCCACGUCAGCGAAUCCCCGUUUGGCAAUAGGACUCAGGGUUCGAAUUAGACCGGGACCAAAGAGUUCAGAGUGCCGAUUACCGGGAUUGACAGUUCAAGGUUCGAUUUCGCUAGCCCCUACGAGUUUAAGGUUCGUUAUGGACUUUUUCCUUUGGUUUAUAGGAAUAGAAUACUAUUAUUAUGAAGGAAUUUUUUCUAUCCUUCAUAUUUUUGAUAGGAAAAUAAACAAUAGCGUAGACUCGGUGAUAAAAAAAUCCUAUGAUGUCAAGUAGAGGACAUCUUCUUUCCUAAUCCUAUUUAUAGGAUUUGAGAUACAUGCAUCUCACUUUGUAUGGCUUUUUCUAUUCUUAUUAUUUUUCUAACCUAUGAACCAAAAGAGGCCUUACAAGGUCGGUCAAUGUUAUGGUUGUACCACCAGUCCACCAAGGAGCAAACAUCCGCCUUAUUUCUCGCAUCGUAGCGAUCCAUAGACCAAUAACAGAAGAUGUUAAUCGACCUUGAGUCGGUGAAAUUUCAUAUAUGAAGAAGAUAUUUUGUCACUGUCGAUUCUGUUAUGGAGUAUCGAAUAUGUGGUUGGGUAGUACUGAAUACAUGCCGUUAAAACUGUAGAAAUUGUCCUUUUCUUCCCCUCUCCUGUGUGGCAUGGUGACCGGAGCGAAGGUCGAUCUACUACUCGCCUCCUCGGCGAGACUGCAUCCCCCCUCCCCCUCCACAUGUCCCUCCAUCGCUGUCGAUGGGAGGAGGGCGGGGACCCUUUCGAUGGAGGUAGGGUUAUGCAUAAAUUUGGGUUUUGUUUCUACCCGACGACAGUGGCGUAGCCAGGGGGUGGACAGGGUGGUUGAUGGACCACCCUGAAAUUCCACCAUAGCCAAUGUAUAAGAUAACAAAAAUUACAAUGCAUAAAAUUACAUGAAAUUUUUAUUAUUGGACCAUCCUGGCUCAUCGAGCUAGCUACGCCACUGUCCGGCGAUGGCGCCGUCAACGGCAUGGAAGAAUAAGGUUCUCGCCGUCGCGCCGAUGAAAGCAUGAGGAGGUGGUGGAGAGCGGCAGUGUGACGAGAAAGGAAAUGAUGCGAGUGAGGAUCGUCGGAGUCCGGAGUGUGUCAGCUAGUGGGCUGCUUCGUAUGCAUGUACAUGUACGUACAUGUGCGUCGGUCAAACAAUAUAUCAUCUUCUAAUCUGCGUACGCACGUACGUACGUACAUACUCAGGCUAGAUAGACAUAGAUAUAGCUAGCCUAUAUGAUGUGGAUGAUGGAGCACGUGCGUUGCGGCAUAUUUGCGGUCCACCGAUCCCUCUUGAGACUGUGUCGCGAGAUGGACGGAUGGAUGGCGAUGGAUCGUCUUGACCAGCAGCAGUUUCUCCCGCUCCUUCUCCGUCAACUCAAAUAAGACGCAAUUUAAAUAGGACAUGCUUCGCGACAGUAUCUACAAAAUCAUGGCUUUGUGCCGUUCUUCAUCCUGAGGAUGUUGUUUUGGAAUUUAGGUAUACUAGCAAAAUGACCCGUGCGUUGCAACGUAAGAAAAAAAAACAUAAACUUCAAUAAUGAUGACCACAUUAUGUUCACAUAUCAUCGCUUGAUUUUGAAAUUUUAUGCACAAAUGCAAGAAAAUGUUUCUUCUUUCAAAAUUAAUUCAUAAGUUGAAGCAAUCUUUACAUUUUUCAAAAAAUAUAUAUCAUGGUUGUCAAAAAUCUUGGUAACUUAAAGAUUUAUUCUGAAUUUCAAUAUAUUUUAAAAAAAAUAUACAAUAAUAAUUCGAUCCAUCCAACAGUUAAUUCUUCAAAAUUCACACAUGUAUAUUGUCACAAAGACUUAGAAGCAUUAAUGUUUAACUACAUACAUUAGAUCUUUCGUGAACAAUUUUACAAUGGAGAACAUUUUUUACAAUUUACAAAUAUUUACUAAAAAUCGUGAAUAUUUUUUAUAUUUCGAACGGGUUUAAAUAUUUUCUUUUGAAUUGGCGACCAAUUCAAGAAAAGACGAACAUAUUUUUUUAUGCUGGAGGAUUUUUUUAAAUUCACAAACAUUUUUUGAAACGCAUGAAUUUUUUCUGAAUAAACAAACAUUUUUAUAAAUCAGUAAUAUAUUUAUUAAAUUCAUGGACAUUGUUUUGGAAUUUGCAAAAAAUAUAUAAAAAUCCGGCGCUUUUUUUGAAUCCACAAACAUUUGAUGUUUUCGUCAGCAUUUUAAUUAAAAAUUCCUAUUUUUUAAUAUGCAAAAGUUUUUAUAAUUCUAAAUUAUUUAAAUUAGAAAUAAACAAAAAUGGAACGGAAAAUUUUAAAUAAAAAAAGAAACUAUCAAAACAGGCAUUAGCUAUUUUUAAAAUUUUAGGACAUUUUUUACAUGCAUUAAUAUAUUUUGAAUUAGAAAGCAUUUUGUUAAAUGCCUUCAAUAAUUUUUAAUACAUGGAAUUGUAUUUGAAAUCAUGGACUUUUCUUAUUGUACAAACAUUUUAUUGUAUAUGCGAGCAUUUUUUACAAAACUUCGAGCAGUUUUUGAAGUCACAAACACUUUAUUUUUCUAAUAUGUUGAUUUAUAUUUUUCAGUUUAUUAAAAUUUUAAAGAUUUUUUGAAGUUCUAAAUUAUUUAAAAUAGAAAAAUAAACGGAACUAAAAGCAGGCCCUGUGCAUGGGCCGGCCCAUACGGUUUGCUGGAUAUUCUCCCAGCUUGCAGAGCGUAAUAUAGGAGGUUUUUACAUGGGCCGGCCCAGUUCAAGAUUUUUGCUUUGUGAAACGUUUUCUAUUACUUACCGGUGGCAUGGUGGGUAAUUUAUGCAAACUUUAGGGGUAAUUUUCAUGACGGACGACCAGAAACCGUAUUUGCUUUAUUAUUAGGGAGAGAUUACGUACUAGGGCUUGACUUGACGGUGUUCUCAGUUUCUUCCGUGCUUUCUUUGGAUAGCGUAGUCAUGUAUAUUCUGCGCGAUCCGAUCAUCCUGAAAUUAGCUUUGUAAGAGGGCUAGUUAAAACACAAAGGGUUUAGGGUUUUGCGUAGGUGGUCUAUCCACCUCAUGUCUCCAUAUAUAUAUAUAGAUGAUCAGGAUCUUACAAUUACAUACGAGUCCCUGUAUGUACAAAUACAAUAUGAACUAGACCCUAUUUUACAUGCCCCCUCAAUCGGAACUACAUACAAGAUUCAGAUUGGUUCUAAAUCGGUCUAGCAUCUGUCGUGUAGCGGGUUUAGUAAAUACAUCCGUUAGCUGAUCAUCUGUUGAAAUGAACCUGACAUCCAAUGAGCCUGCAGCUACUCGUUCUCUCACAAAGUGGAAAUCAAUCUCAAUGUGUUUGGUCCGAGCAUGGAAUAGUGGAUUUGCCGUCAGGUAUGUAGCCCCUAAGUUAUCACACCACAAAAUGGGGGUGCGCUGCCGUGAAACUCCAAGUUCCCUGAGAACUGUGUCUAUCCAAAUGGCUUCAGUAGCUCCAUUGGCCAAUGCCUUAUACUCUGCCUCAGUGCUAGAUCUCGAGGCCGUAGGCUGUUUCUUAGAACUCCAAGAUAUAAGGUUAGGUCCAACAAAUAUAGAAAAAACAUCUGUGGAGCGUCUGUCAUCAACACAGCCUGCCCAAUCUACAUCUGUGAAUAUACUAACUCCAGUAAACUGUGAUUUGCGAAUUUGAAGCCCUGUGUUUAGUAUACCUUUCACAUACCUCAAAAUGCGCUUAACAGCUUCCCAAUGAAUCUCUGUAGGCUGAGACAGAAACUGGCACACUUUGUUCACGGCGAAGGAGAUAUCAGGACGAGUGAGUGUUAAGUACUGAAGAGCACCAACCACACUCCGAUACCUGAAAGAAUCAACAGAACCGAGAGGUGCACCAUUAUGGCGUGAUAAACUCUCGGACGUAGCCAGUGGAGUGGAGGUGGACUUGCAAUUCUCCAUGUUGACGCGAUGAAGAAGAUCCAGUGCAUACUUUAUUUGUGUCAGCAUCAUGCCCCCAGAAUGAAAGGACGCUUCCAAUCCAAGAAAGUACUCAAGUAGGCCCAUAUCCUUGAUGGGAAAGGUAUCCGAUAGGGCUUGCACAAGGCGAUCAACCACAGCAGGUGUUGAGCCAGCAAUCACAAUAUCAUCGACAUAAACCAACAUGAAAAUCUGAGUGGCACCAUGAGAGAAGAUGAACAAGGAUGUGUCUGCUUUGGAUGCAACAAAACCAAGCUGGGAAAGACGACAACUCAAACGAGCAUACCAGGCACGAGGCGACUGUUUGAGGCCAUAGAUAGAUCUCUGAAGUUUGCAAACAUGAGAUGGAUACCUGGCAUCCUCGAAACCAGACGGCUGCUGCAUGUAGACGUCUUCGGCAAGAAAACCGUGAAGGAAUGCAUUGCUCACAUCGAUCUGCCGCAGGCUCCAUCCUCGAGAUACCGCAAUGGAGAGCACGAGCCGAACCGUAGCGGGCUUGACUACAGGACUGAAUGUGUCACCAUAGUCAAUGUCGUGUUGUUGAGUGAAGCCACGGGCAACAAGACGAGCCUUGUGCUUGUCAACAGAGCCAUCCGGUCGAUGUUUAGUCUUGAAGAUCCAUUUGCAGCCAACAACGUUAACACCGGGGGGCGAGGCACGAGCACCCAGGUAUUGGUAUGGCGUAGGGCGGCAAACUCUUCAGACAUGGCAGCACGCCACGCAGGGGCACCAAGCGCCUCAUGAUGGGAGACAGGCGCAACAAAGAAGGCACACCGGCCGGUAUCAUACCGAAUGGUGCCAUCGGUGUAGGUCUUGGGCCGGCGCGUGUGAUCUCGGUUCCGAGUUACCAUGGCAUGCCCCAUGGUGACGUCGACAGGAGGGGUAGACGGCGCAGAUGUCCCUGCCGAAGGUGUCGCGGGUGAGGACGGCUCAGCAGAAGGCGAUACGGGCGGGAACAGAGUAGGGGCCAGCGCACGCGAAUCCAGAGUAGGCGCGUCAGAGAAUCCAGGCGACGGCUGUCGCGCACGGGAGAUGGCAGGCGCAGCCGACACCUCAGACACGUUGAAACGCGGGUCCAGGUGGGAAGCGGUGGCCUGCGGGGAAGCAGCCGACGCAGCAGCCUCGGGAGGCGUGGCAUGCACGUCGAUCGCCUGGGAGGAGGAAAUAGCCGCCUGUGGAGAAAACAGAGAAGCACCUGCAGGGGACUGGUUAGGCGAUAAAUAAGAUAAGUCAUAUUUGCGCAAAUGGACAUCCGACACCGGUUCAUCAUGAGGAAAGGUUAUGAGAUCUUUUAGAGAAGCGAUAUCAACGGAAACUCCGAGAUUGGAGUAAGGAAAAAUAGUCUCGUCGAAGACAACAUCGCGAGAAAUAUAGAUUCUACCGGAGGUGUGAUCAAGGCACUUGUAACCUUUGUGUAGGGGACUAUAUCCGAGGAACACACACAUCGUGGAGCGAAACGCAAGUUUGUGAGCAUUAUACUUGCGACGGCUAGGCCAACAAGCACACCCAAAGACCCGGAGAAAUGAGUAAUUAGGUUGAACAUGAAAUAGUCGAAACAGAGGCGUAUCCUUGUUGAGAACCGGAGUGGGCAUGCGAUUGAUAAGAUAACAAGCGGUGAGGAAAGCCUCAUCCCAAGACCGAAGUGGGAGGGAUGAGUGAGCCAGCAGAGCAAGGCCUGUUUCCACUAAAUGACGGUGCUUGCGCUCGGCAACACCGUUUUGCUGGGACGUGUGUGGACACGAGACACGGUGAUACACACCCGUGCGUUGAAAGUGACGGUGAAGUUUGUGGUAUUCACCACCCCAAUCGGACUGAACAGCCUUGAUCUUGCGAUCGAGAAGGCGUUCGACAUGAGCCUGAAAGAUAUAAAAGACUAGCUCAAUGUCAGAUUUGUGUUGAAGCAAGUAUAUCCAAGUGAAACGUGUGUAGUCAUCAACAAAGCUAACAUAAUACUUGUACCCGCCAGAGGAGGCAAUAGCAGGACCCCACACAUCGGAAUGUAUUAAUUCAAGUGGUACAGUAGUGACAUGAUAUGACACUGAAUAAGGAAGUUGAUGACUCUUAGCACGCUGACAGGCAUCAGAAACUAACGACACAUUAUGGGAACUAGAACACGGGAGGUCAUGAUCCCGGACAACUGACGUGACCACAUUAUUGGUAGGAUGACCAAGACGCUGAUGCCAUUGGGAGGACGACACUCCGACGCUAGAAGCAGCAUGGCGAGAUGAAGAGGACGCUCGAGCAAAUGGGAUGGGGUAGAUUCCCCCAUAACUUCUACCGUGAAGAAGAACGCGCCUGGUUGCCUUGUCCUUAACAAAGAAAAAACGACGGUGAAAUUCAAUAAACACGUCAUUAUCACAUAGGAGGCGAUAAACAGACAAGAGGUGUUGUGUGAUUUGUGGAACACGCAAGACAUUGCGGAGUUGAAGAGAUGAACCAGGUAUAUGGGAGUGACCAAUGUGCGAAAUAGACAAACCUGCGCCAUUAGCCACCUGGACUUGAUCCUUGCCGUCAUAGCGCUCAUGCACUUGGAGUCGCUCCAGAUCACUGGUUAGGUGAUCGGUGGCUCCGGUGUCGAGCACCCAGGGGAAGUCGGCAGCGCCCAUGGUAGCCGCAUUGGCGGAGCGAGUAUGGUGCUCGGUGUCAUAGUGUUUGCGACAAUCGCCGGCCUAAUGCCCCCAGUUCCGGCAAAGUUGGCACCGGGGACGCCAACGAGUGUUGUGACGACCACCCCCGCCGUUGCCGCCGCCAUUGCCCCCGCCACCCUGGCAGCCGGGGCCGGAGGCACCCGGUGGGCGAGCGCGACCAUCCGAGGAGCCGUCGGGACCGCCGUGGCGACUCUAUCCGGGCGGACCGUGUCCGUCAGUGGGCCGGCCACCGCCUUGGGACGGGUAGGGCUUGGAAUAUGGCAGGCGGCCACCUGCCCCCGAGCGAGUGACGGCGUUGGCCGACGGGCUCCAGCCCUCGGUGGCAUUCUGCUGCGCCUGCAAGGCUUCGAACAAGCGAGUAGAAGCUGGAAUAGGGCAUGGGUGCAGCGCUGACGCCUAGGGACGCGGCGAUGGAGUUCUAAGCGGAACCGAGGCCGGUGAGGAUGUGAUCGAUGAGCUCAUCAUCCCGGAUGGGCGAGCCGGCGGCGGCCAUGGUGUCAGCCAAGGCCUUCAUCUUGCGCAUAUACUCAGCCGCAGAGAGCUCCUCCUUGCGCAGCGUCUGGAGUUGACGCCGGAUGUGACGGACGUUGGCGCGGCUCUGGGAGCCAAACAUGGCACCGACGGCCGUCCAGACCGCUUGCGCCGACUCGCAACCGACGAGUUGGCAUGCGAUAUCCUCCUCCAUGGAAGUGAGGAAAAGCCCUUCACCUUCUGGUCGUUGGUCCACCAAAGAAGGUACGCAGGGUUGCCGGUGGUUGCCGCGGUGUCGCCCGUCCCGACGGCGACAAGCUUCGCCGGAGCCGCCUCGGUGCCAUCGAGGUAGCCAUGAAGGUUGGCUCCCGCGAGAACGGCGCUGGAGAUCCCCUUCCAGAGCAGGAAGUUGGUGCGGCCGAGACGGACGGAGAGGGCCGGGACGGAGACAGUAGCAUUGGCCGGCGAGACGAGGGCGCCGACGGUGGAGGGAAGCGACAGGGCGACAGAAGACAUCGCGGCUACGAAGCGUGGUAGGCGUAGCGGCGGCGGCGGCGUGAGGGUGGGAGCACGCGGCGGCGGCGGUGUAGAUGGGAUCGGGCGACGGCGCGGGGUGCAACGCGCGACGCCUGGUGGCUUAUCUGAUACCAAGUUAAAACACAAAGGGUUUAGGGUUUUGCGUAGGUGGUCUAUCCACCUCACGUCUCCAUAUAUAUAUAUAUAUAUAGAUGAUCAGGGUGUUACAAUUACAUACGAGUCCUUGUAUGUAUAAAUACAAUAUGAACUAGACCCUAUUUUACAGGGCUAUCUUAUCCUCUUCUAUCAUUCGAUAUAUAUAUAUAUAUAUAUCCUUUUCUAUCAUUCCAUGGUUUAUAGCUUUAGGUUGUCGCUUUUGUAUAUAUAAAUAAAAACGGAACAAAUGCAUGUUUCGAGAGAGCGCGUUGGGUUGCACCUCGCACAACCUCCCAAUAUGACCAGAGUCGAUUCACUGCUGGCUUGCUACCUACUCCCUCCGUCCUAAAAGUUUUUUCUUACAUUUGUCUAGAUAUGAAUGUAUCCAAUCAUGCUUUAGUAUUUAGAUACAUCUAUUUCUAUACAAAUCUAAGAUAAGAAUUUUGGGACGGAGAGGAAGUAUAUAUAUAAUGCUGGUAGGUUAUGCGCAUCUUUUUAUCGUGUGUAAAUAUGUAGCUACAAGCUAGCCUACAAGGGAACGACGCCGAUGGAUCAGAAAGUGAAGACGCGCAACAAUCUCACAAAACUCGUGCCACUCACACCGACGUACGGUGGUCGAAAGCGAGCCCUAAAUAACGAAACAGUUGGCUACGUUGCUGCCGCCGCCACUUUCUCCCGUGCGUAGCUUAGCUACCUCGUGCGCGAACCAACAGUUGCCCCCAUCCAUGUAAAUUAGUCGGCUCAAGGGCUCAAGGGAGUGCGACCAAUAACCUGCCACCGCUUCUACUCCCUUUUCCUUUUUUUUUUCGUUUUCAAGAAAUUGACCUUCCUUCCUGGGCUUGGCAAAAGACUUUCGCCCCGUUUUAUCUAUACCUAAUAAUAAAACGGUUAUCGUUUCCGUCGGAAAACCCACCGCGUUAUUUUUAUAAAAAAAGACCGUGUAAUUUUUGUUAUUCAACCCACGCUCCAUCUUUUAUCUGCAACGCAAAAAAAACGAUUCGCUGCAAAAAUUAUACCCGUACGCAUCGCCUCCUCCCGUCAACCCUGGGCCACCCUGGCCUGUGCCCAGGCCGCCGCCACACCACUCGGCGCCGCAGCCGACCUCAACCGCCACCGCUGCCGAUCUCAACCCACCCGCCUCCGCGGCCGUACCUCUCCCCGCUCACUGCCCCCGUUGCGGCGCUCGAGCGCAUCGCGUCGACCCUGGUCCACCCUGGCCUGUGCCCAGGCCGCUGCCACACCACUCGCCGCCGCGGCCGACCUCAACCACCAUUGUUGUCGAUCUCAACCCACCCGCCUCCGCGGCCGUACCUCUGCCCGCUUGCUGCCCCCGUUUCGGCGUUCGAGCACAGCUUCUGGAUCAAAUCAACGCGACAGCUACAGUGAGUGGUGAUGAUGCGUCUACUCGAUGCAGAACGGCGGCGGCGCGCGGAUAAGGCGCGGCGGAGCGAAGUACUUGGAGGUGGAGGCGGGCCUCCAUGGCUCACACAGGGAACUCCGUGGUUAUGGCGCGGCAACAGCGACUCCUUAUGGCCAGAUAGAGGCGUUUAACCCUUGCUCCCCUCGUCGUAUCCCCUCCUCCGGCAGGAACUCAUCAUCUGGUGAGAUCCCCUCCCCAUGCCUCCAACCGUGUGCCAAGCACGGGCAAGAAAUUUUGUUUUGUGGGGAUUUGUUUGCUCAUGAAUGAAUGUAUUGAAUGUAAGAUUGUAUUGUUGUAGAGACAGAGAAUGGAACACCACCUUCAGUUUGUCAUCUGAUCCCACAUUCUCUACCCCAUGAGUGAAAUAAGAUAGCAGUCCAUUGAUCAAUUCACGUAGCCUCUUUGUUUUGUUUUGCUUGUCCCGCUCAAUUUCUCAUCAUGGUGUAAUUAACAAUGGACGGGUUGAUUUCUCAACAAAAUAGGAUAGGACUGACUACAUUAGUUAGUUAGCUUAUUAUUUUAAUAAAUCAAAAUAAUUAUAAAAAUAUUAAAAACGUGUGGUAUUUUUUUCUCCCGUUGCAACGCACGGGCCCUUUUGCUAGUAUAUGUAAAACAAUGAUUAACGACGUUCCGAUACAAACGCCUGUCAACACAACACGCGGACAUACCCAAGACAUGAUACAUGGACGCUAAUCGAAGCAACACGAAAAGUUGCAUACGACGAACCGUGGGUUCCAAGGCGGCGUCUUCAGGAAGGAUAUGACACGGGAGCGCCGCCACCGCCCGAUCCGAGGAUCAGAGUUUCCCCUUGGGAAGCACGACGAGCGAUGAGAGCCCGUCAUCCAAGAACUUGACACCACCUCACCUGAGAUCCGCCACUACCCCAACCAAAGAGACGAGUGAAAAGGUCCCACAUUUUCCACCCCUAGGCAGCCCCAGCGCCAAGACCGAAAGGCUGGCCAAUACUAGCCUCCAUCGACGUGGCAUGCAGCACCGGACGCGAGACGAGCUCGGUCAUGCGACAACUAGUGCGAGACGAUGUCGGUCUUGCUACACCAUGCGCGAGACGAGCUCGGUCCUACACACCAUGCGCGAGACGAACUCGAUCCUGCCACACCGGGCGUGAGAAAGAAGAAGGACCACGGCUGGGAGCGGGCCAUCCGAGCUGAUCUGGUCGGCCGGCACCGCAGCCAGCAGCAACAGCCGGCACUCCACCGCCAGCCGCUCAAGAGCACGCCAGCACGGCCCCCGACCCACGCCAUGACCUCACCAGGACGCCGUCGCCACCCCACGCCGCCAACUGUCCAGGUGGCAAGAUCCGGGACGCCCCGCGCCCCCCCUCCACACCAAGCACGCUCCACCGACGAUCGUCGUAGCCCUCUACAUCGCCACAGCACCCGCCGCCGCGCCCCCGUACAACGGCUCCGGCCCGCACCAUCCAUGACACAGAAAGGAGAAGAGGCCCCGCCGCCACCCCCCGUCGACAGGGCUUUGCCCGUGACGGUGAACGGGAGCGAAGGGGAGCUAGGGAGGGGAGGCCCUGGGCCGACAGCGGCUAGGUAGCCCCCCCGGUCGCAUGCAGGGGCGACGCGAGGGGGGGGAGAUACUAUGUUUUUGGUCCUGAAAAGGAGUCCUUCCUAGACUUAAGGAACCAUUUACCAGUUUGCUCACGGCAUCCGAGGAAGCUUCGCCAUAGAGGCAAAGCCAGCUAAAUUUCUCAAUUAGGUCAUCUUCAUGUAUUAUAUGGGUUCAGCCCUAACUACACAUUAAUUAGCAUCAUUUCACUACAGGUUUUACAUAAAUUCAUUGGGUUCAACUGACCCAAACGCUAUAGUGCUAGCUCCUCCUCUACUCCACCAUAUACGGUUUCCUCGAGGAACUUGCGAGGUUUAUAUCUUCCCUCCUCUGUGUGGCCGGAAUUGGGAUUAUCUUAUCGUGCUCCUUGGUGGUGGCUUCUCCAGUAUGACGAUCUAUCCAACUCACACGAUCGUCGGGGUCCUCUGGCCUAUUACUAUCACUCACCAGCCGCUGAUUCACUCACGCUCAUGGGCUUCUAUAAUCCCCGACGAUUUCCUUCAAGCCAAGCCUCUGCCCCGCUCCUUGGGGAAGGCAUGUAUUGCGUUCUUCAAACGCCUACAUGAGAUGUAUGCCCGGUCCCCUCGUUCUCUCUUACUUCGGAGGUGGCGCAGUUGGCUGUGAUGAGAGCCGUGAAAUGGCCAUGGUUAAUGGUUUCAUUGGAGGAUUAGGCCGUGCAGUUUCUUUCAUGUUCUUUUCCCUUUUUGUCAAUGGCUUGCCCGCGUUCUCAGGGAUGCAUAUCUCUUUGUACUAGCUGCUCCAUCUGUUCACAAAUAUAAGAUGUUCUGAUGUUUUAGUGUAUUUGUUCAUUCAUUUCAAUCUGUAUGUGAUCUAUAUUAAAAUAUUUAAAACAUCUUAUAUUUAUGAACGGAGGGGGUACUAAUUAAUUUCCUCGACGAUAUUCAGAUAUGGGAUACCCUCCAGGUGUCCCUUCCCGAGGUCCUGACCAACACAAACCUUUGUAAGAAUGCAAAUGCAUGCAUGGCACACUGGAUGUAAGAAACUAUGGAUACAAUUAUCUCACAAGUUGAAAGUAAUUUUAAAGUACUCAAAAAAAUUUGAAGAAUGUGUUGUUAGUCAGUACACCCUCUGUUCCUAAAUGUACGACGUUUUGGCAAUUUAAAUUUAAACUGCUAAAACAUCUUACAUUAAUGAACAUAGGUACUAGUACUUGGUAGUGGGGGUUAGGUUUGAUUUUGCAGACUGAAAUUAGAAGUUGUUGUUAUUAGUCAGUACUUAGUAGCGUUGUUCGUCAAACAGAAGCUCCAAUAGGCCCAUGGUGGUGGGUGGGGAGCAAGAUAGAUACCUCCAAGGCUGGGUGCUAGCAAAGAGGAGCAGAUCACAUUUGCCAAAAAGCAAACUAAACAAAAUUAGGGGGAUAUUAGGAGGUGAUGGAGACUGAAGCUUAAUUAUGGAACAGUAGUUGCGGUCGUGGUAAUCCAUAUCUGCGCAGAGAUUUUGUGGCCAUUGUUUUAGUGUGUGUGUGUGCAUGGCUGCAUCAGAAGUAACAAAAAAGGGAGUGCAAGUGUGCAACACCAUACAAAUGGCCAAAUGGGUUGAAUGAUGUGGCUUUCCUUGUGUUCAUGCAUUUUCUUCCUCCUUCCUCUGAUCUUCUAGAUGAUGUUAUUACCAAGGGUGCUAGAAUAAGUAAACAAAUUGUAUAAGAAAGUUGGAGGAAAUUAAACUAUGCAGAUUGUUAUAUGCAACCCCCCUCCCCCCGGAAAAAUAAUAAAUAAAUAACAAAAGGACAACUUCAGAAAAGUGUAGGUAGUUAUCUGACCCCUUUUAUAAUAUAUUGUAGAGCUUCCAUAAAAUUAUCAUCUUUUAACACUAUAUUUGUUCUCUUUUUUUAUUUUGAUCAUUAAGUACAUGUAAGCAUGCACCAUCAGUCCAGUAGCUCUCCCACAAGAAAGAAAGUAGCAUUGUAUACUAAAUUAAUAACUUAUAGGUCAGCAAACCAAAUAUAUAUAUGGAAUGCACUGCACAAGGAGAUCCUCCAUUUCCCUUUUUCCUGUGAUUCAUAUGCUUCUUUUCAGGAAGGAGGCCCCAUGAGGAUCCUCUUGACUCUAGAAAAUACUAAUUUGGAAACACUUUAUAGGCGAUGCUUUCUAUGACAGAUCUCCCAAUUCUUCUAAUAGCCCCAUGAGCUUAUUUUUCAUGGGCUCCCCUGAAAACAAAACUGCACACAGCAGCAACUUUGCAAAUAAUUGGCUCAAAGUCGAAUCGAAGCAACGGUAUUAGUUCUUUCCAGGCAAGCAGGCAGGUACCUCUACCUGUCUUACUCUGACCAGUUACAUCUAUGCAGUACAGUUCUUGCUCUUAGUUGUUUCUUUAACAGAAGGUGUCAAAAUUUCUCAGGCAAGCAGUAAACAGAUUGUUUCUUACGAAAACACCAGCGGGGUGGGAGGUCUGGUUAGGUGUCACCUUGAUGGGAUUCCCUCUCCGCAAUAAUCUGCUUGACCUCUGUUCUUCCUUUUGUUCUCACAUGCUGCAAGGUUAAUGCCAGGCGAAAAGAAAACACAAAAGGCUUUGUCAUGAGCCCAUAGGCGAUAAAGAAUUCGACAAGGUGAUAGGGCUGCAUGACCUGUGAAGGUGAUGCCCAUUUUGGCUGCAAAUGCUUGUUGCAAUCAUUGCUCAGUCAUAGCUCCUUGUUUAGACUUUAGAGUCCAACCUGCAUUUGUUCUUCUUUGUUUGCCCUAGAGACUAGAAAGUAGUCUGACUAUCAGAGCACCCACUCUAGCUUGUUAGAUAGAGAAAAUUAUUUGUAGGAUGCAAGACUAACAAUAUCAUCCCAAUUUUCUGACAUGUAUUCUCACUUUUUCUUCUGUGUGAAUAAUUAUAAGUGAACAAAUAAUAGCGAAAAGAAGUUACCAUGCUUAUUUUCUCUUCUUGGGAAACCAUGCAUAAUUUUUUGUUCAUGUGGGAUCCUAUCCAACAGUAGAACCAUGAUUCAGAAUAAUAAAACUAUAUGCAACAAGAGAAAACAGAGUGGGCGUCCAUAUCUAGGCGGAACACACGUCAGAUAAAUUGGUUCCGCCCAGGAUCCUUCAGACUUGUUCCUAGAAAACAGGCAUCUCCCCUUGGCUUCUCAUGGGACUGAAUCUGAUCUUAUCAGCAAAUCUCAAUUAAGAAACACACUAAUCACAACUGCUAGUGCGUGCGAGCAAUAGUGGACAGCAAGUGUACUUCCAAAGCCAAAAUGUUAUCCCCCAGGAUGGGGGAUUCCAUUAGAUUUCCUUUCCUGGUGUCACCUGCUCUUCCAACAAGCACACAAACCAAUGGAACCCGAUCCGGGUGACGUUAACUGUAUCUUACUCCUGCCCCCACACUCCACUACGAGCACCGAUGAAGUUAGUUCCAAAUACAAAGCAGCUUCGUUUCGCUCACAGAAUAAUAAUAUGCUCACCUCCAUCUCUGAGAUGCUUCCCUGAUGCCGUGAUGCGUGCAGGUUUGGUCUUUUGGACCAUUCCAUUAUGUAUGUACUCACCCCCAGGACACGCGCGCCAAACUUGCUUGGCACAGCAAUACAAUACUUGGACGCCUUUCUUGGGACUUUUCGGCUACACGAUCAAGAGCAUGGUGUAAGUGUAAUGUAAUGGAAAAGAAAGUUUAGAGCGUGCACUGACCAAAAGCACAUUCUCUGCCAUACAAGAACCAGUAUCGUCUCAAAUCUCCGGCGAUGGCAAUAGGAUAAGUGGCAGAGUCAAACCCACCGAGUAACAUACUAGCUCAACCUUCCAGUACCCUGCAAAGUGAUAGAUUAAGCCUCAAUGAUGAGUGAUUAUACAAAGUGGUGCCGAAUUGUUUUCAAGUGGAAGACCCAAGACCAAGUGGAGGCUAUCUUAGGCUAUCAGCAAACACUCAGCACACUACAGGUGGUGAAGGCAUGAUCAGUCCAACAAGUGUGAAAGAGACUGGAGACAGUUACGUAUUACUUGUGCAAUGCAAGUUAUCUCACUACUCUGCCAUCCCUAAUAGAAUGGCUUCUAUUGAUAUAUGUGUAUUUUAAAUGUUUACGCGACAAUAUGAUGGACAUGUAUUUUUUUAAAAUUUACUCUCUCCGUUCCUAAAUAUAAGUCUUUUUAGAGGUUUCAUUUAGAAUGUAGAUUCACUCAUUUUGUUUCGUAUGUAGAAAACUACAUACGGAUGUAUAUAGACAUAAUUUAGAAUGUAGAUUCACUCGUUUUGUUUCGUAUGUAGUCCCCUAAUGAAAUCUCUAAAAAGACUUAUAUUUACGAACGGAGGGAGUAUUUAUUUUAGAAAAACAACAAUUUGGAUGAUAGUGUGAAGAUCCUAGCAAACCAAUGACCGAUUGCUGAAGAAGUGAAGGUGAAAUCUAAAAAGAAAGACAUACGUGGAAAUCAUUCAGUGCAAACUUGUGAAUUGUUGAAUAAAGAUCUUUUUUUUUAUCAACUGGCUUAAUAGUGUACAGUAAACUACAGGGAACAAGAAACAACUGAAUGAUGAGAUGAAAAACCAAAUUUUCUGUUCAUUCAGAAAAAGUAGGCAUCUAUUGCUAAAUCUAGACAGAAAUAGAAAUAUACCUGUUCUGCAGCUUGAUUGAUUGCUGCAAAACAGAUUUAGCCAGUUAGAAAGUCCAGAAUGGAGUAUUCAUCAUUCAGUACAAAUCGAAAACUUAGAUUGUGCAACUGGAGUGUGGACAAGAGAACUGUAUUUGUAGGGUCGAUGUGUAAGCAUCAGGAGAACUGCAUCCCAGAUGACCUCCUAGUACACUUGGAAGUCGUAAGUCAUAAAGAAGAACCACCAGUUAUUUGGGAAGUUGAAGAAGCAUGAUCCAAUUUCAAAAUUAAAGAACAUGGUGCAUAUGUAGAUUCACAAUCACAAACAAAAUGCAAGCUUUGCAGCUCAAACCACUUUCCUUAUGUGCCAGGACUAUUGCCACUUCCACAGACAUGCACUGCAAGAAGCUAAAACUGUUACACAUAGGUGGAACAAGUAAAUUAUUUGAGAAAGGGAAGUAAACUGGAACAGACACACAAAUAUAGAAAUGUAAUCAGGCCAAUAGGUUACUACCUACAUAACCAAAAAAUAGGUUACUGCCGAUUUUAUGGAGCACAAGAGCGGCAACAUGUAGACUGGACUUGUGAUAAACUAUCUUACUCUAUAAGGAUUUACAUCUACUCCCUCCGUUCCUAAAUAUAAGUCUUUUUAGAGAUUUCAUUAGGGAACUACAUACAAAACAAAAUUAGUGAAUCUACACUCUAAAGUAUGUCUAGAUACAUCCGUAUGUAGUCCUCUAGUGAAACCUCUAAAAAGACUUGUAUUUAGGAACGGAGGGAGUAGAUGAUAAUUCAAAUCUUAAUUUUCGACUCCCUCCAUUAAAAAACAAGUGUCGUGGUUGACACUUAUUUUGGAACGGAUGGAGUAUAUGCUAUCUCAGAGAAAAAAAAAUGUUUCAAUGCUGGCAUACAGUCUGCCACUCAAAUACAUAGUAGUAUGUUCCAAUAGCAACACAUUUGAGACAGAACACAGAAGAGCAGUUUCUUGCCUUCAACUGGAAGCAGAAAAUUACACGCUGAACCACUUGCAUUCAGAUGAUUUUGAAUCAUGUUACAAGCUACAUGUUCAUUCCAACUGAAAAAGAAAUGAUUCAUUGGUAUCUAUGAAAGAGGAUACAGUGAGAGUACAACAGGGUGACUGACCAGUCAGUUUCUGAUUGUGAAGUAUCUCAGCCCAACAGUGUAAUGUAAACAAAAAAAAAAGCUGAUCUUACAUUGCUUCUCAGUAAAGAAGGGCCUCAACAAAAUCAAAGUUUCAACCCAACAUUGAUCCCACAACAAAGAAGUGCAUACCAAAAACUCGUGCCGUCCUCUCAAAACUCCAGCCAUCCGGCGUGGAAUCUGGCUAAAUACAACUCCAUCGGAACCAAUCACUCAGCAAGCGAUCUAAGAGGCGUGGCCGGUCACAAGACGAACAGCCAUCCACGUUUGUAGCCCACGAGCGCACCCACGGUCACCGCCGACCACACCGCCACAACCCAACGGGCUGCAAGCAAUGCCGCCUCCUUCAUGGCGACCGACCACCCGACAAGCCAGUCCAGCCCCUCCACGCCCUCAAAGAAGUCCUUCCCUUGCACCCACCACAGUGCGAGCAACGAGAGCACGAGCAGCGGUGGCGCGACGAACUGUGUGGCCGCGGCGCAGAGAUGAUGGUUGUGCAGGAACACCUUCGCGCGACCAUACUCUGUGUCCGGUGCGCGGUUGGCGUGCAGGCGCUGGUACCAGCAGAAGACGGCCUCGUUGAGGUACAUCUGCACGGCGGCCCUGGAUGCCAGCAGCUGCAGGCCGGCCGCGGCGGCCAGCAGCUUGACCUCCAGCUCGGGACCGUCAACGAACCCGCAGCACUGCAGGAUGGAGGCGGCGGAGGAGACGAGGACGGCGAGGUGAAGGAGGAGGCGCGCGGGGGCGGAGGAUNNNNNNNNNNNNNNNNNNNNNNNNNNNNNNNNNNNNNNNNNNNNNNNNNNNNNNNNNNNNNNNNNNNNNNNNNNNNNNNNNNNNNNNNNNNNNNNNNNNNNNNNNNNNNNNNNNNNNNNNNNNNNNNNNNNNNNNNNNNNNNNNNNNNNNNNNNNNNNNNNNNNNNNNNNNNNNNNNNNNNNNNNNNNNNNNNNNNNNNNNNNNNNNNNNNNNNNNNNNNNNNNNNNNNNNNNNNNNNNNNNNNNNNNNNNNNNNNNNNNNNNNNNNNNNNNNNNNNNNNNNNNNNNNNNNNNNNNGGCGAGCGAGGCGACGAGGUGCGCCGGGCGCGGCGGCGAGGCGAGCGCGACCUGGCGGAGGAGCGCGACGAAGAGGAAGGCGAGCGGGAGGAGCGGCGCGAGCGGGGCGGCCGGGGAGCGGGGCGGCGGGAGGAGGAGCGCCGGGGGCAGGAGCGCGAGCGGGAGGAGCAGGGAGAGGUGGAAGCCGGCGAAGUGCGGGCGGGAGGCGAGCGUGGCGUGGGAGAGGCGCAGGCGGUAGAGCUGCGCCGAGCCGUCGGAGGCCGGGGCGGCCCCGCCCCCGCGCUUGCCGGAGGGCGCGGCGGAGCCCGGCGGGCGGAGGACGGCGCGCGGCCCCGUGGAGGGGACGGCGUCCGGGUGGAUGUAGGUGUGGACGGCGUAGAGGAGGAGGGACGGGACGUGGAGGAAGUGGGCGGCGGCCGCGAGGGCCAGCGACGCCGCGACCUGCGGCGCGUACGGCGGGACGGGGAAGGANNGGAGGUCGUCGACGGCCAUCGCNNNNNNNNNNNNNNNNNNNNNNNNNNNNNNNNNNNNNNNNNNNNNNNNNNNNNNNNNNNNNNNNNNNNNNNNNNNNNNNNNNNNNNNNNNNNNNNNNNNNNNNNNNNNNNNNNNNNNNNNNNNNNNNNNNNNNNNNNNNNNNNNNNNNNNNNNNNNNNNNNNNNNNNNNNNNNNNNNNNNNNNNNNNNNNNNNNNNNNNNNAGGGAGGGUGGGUGGAUCGAUCGGCGCAGUGGAGAUCUGGGUGGGUGGGGAGUGUGACGGAGUUACCAGAGACCAGGGGAGGACUGAGUUGUAAAUGGGCCGGGCUCUACGGGCCUAGAUCUGGGCUCGUUUUGGACGCUAGCUUGGCCCAUGUGCUGAGCAUUCGAACUUUAUUAGUAGAUUCUCAAAAGAAUAGUGGUCAUUAACUUUUUAUACUCUACAUAAAAACUUGAAGAGCUUCUUUUUGAAAAGGAAAAUUAUGUGUUUGAUGACAAGGAUCCUGAUUUUUUCUUUAUGAACGAAUUCUCGCAUCCUUGAAACUAAGAUCACACUACAUGCUAAAUCAGACAUCGCUCUGUAAAACCAGGCUGCGCUACCAAAAACAGUUUCAGGCAGCACAUUUUGUUCCAACUGAAAAGGUAGCUAUCCCACACAAAUUUGCAAAUCGGAGCAAAUAUGGCGGCACGACAAGCGGUUCAAGAGAUCCAACCAAAGAGCAGAGGGGCGGCGGGAUGGAUAAACAGAAUCGUCAUCAUUAUUAUUAUUGUGUAUAUAAUACAAUUUGCAUACACUAAUCACAGCGUGCCUCCUCGGAAGUGUCUUCGGAGGACGGACGAGUAGCAAAAUCUCACAGCAGGUUCUUUAUUCCAGUCAUGGCAACAAAAUGAAUAGAGGUUCUCAACCGAAUAAUGAUACAUUGUGAGCGGAUCUUAAAUUAUCUUCGGGGCAGGGCUCACUCGCCGCUCAGGAUGGGGUUGAUCAAAGGCUUCAUCUGCGCGAGGUACACGAUUGCCCACCUGCAGAGAAAGAUUAAUGAAUUGUGAACAAAGAAGAGAUGAGACAAGCAGCAUGUAAUAACCAUACCAAGAAGAGGCUCGUGAAUGCAAGGAUGAGCUCAGUCAAUUCUUAUGAAUAUACGAAAAUUUGCAACAGGAAAGUUAAGAGAAGUAGGAAAAACUGGUGUGCACAGAAAAUAAUGGCACCACAAGUAAGAAAAGUAAGAUUUGAGUCACUUCUUUCUUCAGGUUCCAAGAACUAUUUGUGCUCUAAUUUUGUAGCAAAAAUUAGGAAAACAGCGGCAGGAAUGAUUCUAAUAAGCAAGCUGCAUGGGUAAGAGAAUUCUCAUGACUAAUUUUAAUCAGAAAAAAUCUUAGAACCAAAACCUUCAAACUAAUUAGUACGAAAUAUAUUGCACGACAAAGAAAAAUACAAUUUUCACAAGGCUUAAAUACUGGGUUUGGAUUCCCAGGUAGCCUAUCAAACUAAUUGGAACACAGGCGUCUAAUUUAGUGUAUUGUGCCUGGAGGAUCACAGAAGUAACAGUAUUGACUUUUACGGAAACAAAAAAAAAGGUACAUAACCUCUUUCAAUUGAUCAAAUUAUAUACUCUGGGUGCUGAACUAGAAAUAUUCUGGUUUAUCCUAUGUGAAUUAACAUUGAACAGCACGCAUAUGCAUAUUACAAGAACAAGUUGAGUGAAAUAUGUAUGGGCGAGUUGAGCUACAAAUCAAGGAAAUAAAGCCAUAAGUUUGCAUUUUGCCACUUCAUAGCGCCUAUCCAAUCAUGAUUAAGUGCUAGGCAUGCUGUUGUCAUGCAACACCUAGGCACACUUCAGCGCAGGCCUAGGCGAGCUUUUUCUUUUUACACUGCUACAAAUAAUACCAUUCGUUGUAUACCAGAUAUAUUGGUCAUCAUUUAUAUUGGCCCAAAUCUGACAGACAUCUUGGUGUUAUAUUAUGCCUGGAUGGAGGGUCACAGAACUAACAUUUGAUUUCUACGGAAACCAAAAAAAAUCAGUAGAUAACCCCUUUCACUUGAUCAAGUUAUUUACUCUGAGUACCAAACUAGAAAUAUUAUGGCUUAUGCUACAUAUAUCAAAUGUGAACUAACAUUGAACAACAUGCAUAUUAGAUAUUACAAGAACAAGUUGAGAGAAAUAUGUACGUAUGAGUUGUACUACAAAUCAAGGAAAAAAGAAGCACCAAGUGUGUGUUUUGCCACUUCAUAGCGCAUAUCUCGUGUACGUGCAUGGCUAGGAACACAUAGGCACAAGCCAAACAUGAUUAAGCGCUAGGCAUUCCGUGGUCGCCCAGCUCCUAGGCAAAUCUAGGCAAUCUUUUAUUGCACUGCUAUAAAUAAUACCAUUUGUUGUAUACCAGAUUUAUUGAUCAUUAUUUAUAUUGGACAACUGACAGACAUCUUGGCACUAAAAGAAUAACUGACAGACAUCUUGGCACUAAAAGAAUAACUAGUGCAAGCCAACAGAUACUUUAUGCCACAUGAUGUCAAGUAGAGUGCAAGUUAAAUGGCCACAAAUUUUCAUGUCACAAUUGCACGUCUGUAACAUAAAUUUUGAUAUGAGCAUUAUUUUUUUAAAUGAUAUGAGCAGGACGUCAACAGUUGAUGGGGGCAAUCUUAGUGUAAGAAGAAAGGAGAAACCAAAUGUGCGUGUGGGUAAAAUGGAUCAGAACUUACAUCAUCCAACAACAAACUGUAGCGGUAAUAACCAGAGUCAAAUGGAAUCUGCAUAGCAAGAGCGAAGACCAUUAGCUAACAGGCUAUACAAAAUUAAUGGAUGCAUAUAAAUGAGUGCAGAGGUAGACGCAUCAGAGAAUGUAACAGUGAGCCCAAGGUUUUCCAGGCAUGCACAGAUUCGUCUUUGCCCAACAAUAAUUGACUUAAAUUGAAGAAUGCAUCGACGCAUAGUGCAAACCAUAUAAAAUCGUUGCUAUGUAGCAUGUCUACUCGGUUGGUGUCAAUUUAUAUGCAAUUAACCAGCACUAACUUAGGCGAACUUGCUGUAUGUGCAGAAGCAGCACAACAUUGCAAAGCUGCUAUUUUCCCCCAAUUGUGUCUGAAUUCGUCUUGCAGAGGCUCUACUAGACCCAAACCCGGCAAUGGCUCGAAGCAUUGGACAGGAUUUUCAGCGCAUAGCUGCGGCUUCCACAUAGCCCACAGCACCAACCCAACGAUCCAGCCACUCUACCAAGAGCCCGGCCGGAGAUCACGCGACGCCGAGCAGGCAUCCACCGGCCCGCGGAUCUCAGGCGGGCAAGCUCUACCAGACCUGACGGCCCAGCCUAACCCUAGAUCGAGCCCGCUCUCCAUCGCGCGCCGCGAUCCGGCGGGAAGGGGAGGGGAGGGCCGGUCGAACCCCGCCUCCGCCAGAUCCGAAGCCCCCGGCGCCAUCCAGGGACUUGAACGGCGGCGAGACGGACCGGAUGGAGCGGGAUCGGAGGAGGAAGGGGGGGGGGGGGGGGNNNNNNNNNNNNNNNNNNNNNNNNNNNNNNNNNNNNNNNNNNNNNNNNNNNNNNNNNNNNNNNNNNNNNNNNNNNNNNNNNNNNNNNNNNNNNNNNNNNNNNNNNNNNNNNNNNNNNNNNNNNNNNNNNNNNNNNNNNNNNNNNNNNNNNNNNNNNNNNNNNNNNNNNNNNNNGGGGGGGGGGGGGGGGAGAGAGAGGGUUUGACGUACAUGUUGGUGGAGGCGCCGCGGUUGCAGCAGAGGAGCGAGAACAUGCAGGCGAUGAAGCCGGCCAAGAAGAAGAUGGCGGAGGUCACCAGGAACCCCAUCGCCGGAUCGGUCGCCGGGUCGGUCUCGUCGGGGUUGGAGGAGGAGGAGGAGACGAGGGGAAGGAGGAGCAGGCGGUGGUGGUGGUGGUGGUGAUGGGGUUGCCACGUGACGUGCGCGCUCGUCGUGGACGCGGAUCGGAUCUGGACUGCAGGCGGGCCGCGGACCGCUGCGAGUAGACCACAUACUGGCCAAACGGGUGGCCCGGCCCGGCCCGGCCCCGGCACGAGCACGGCCUGCAUAGGCAAUUAGUAAUCGGGUCGUGCUCUGCCAGGUCCAGCCAUGAUCCGUUACUAAACGGCAUGUUGACAUGUUUAGUAUAUUGAGUCGUACUCCGUCCGUUCCUAAAUAUAAUUCUUUCUAAGAGUUUCAUUAAUGAACUACAUAUGGAUGUAUAUUUUAGGGUAUAGAUUCAUUUAUUUUGUUCCGUAUAUAGACACCUAUUAAAAUAUCUUAAAAGAUUUAUAUUUAGGUACGGAGGGAGUAUGUUUUUAGGCUCGUGGCCUCAUUUUUAGGGCUAUUGAAUUGUAUAUUAUGUGUAUGUAUAUUUAAAAAAUUGAAAAUAUAUAUAAAAAAUAAACGGACCGUGUUGUGCUGGUCCGCAUACCCACCCUUCAGGCCCGGUCUGUUUAAGUCGUGUCGUGCCUCGCCCAUGACGGGUCGUGCCGGCGUGGCCGCAUGUCGGUCUGUUUGACCCGGCCCGUUUGGCCAGAUAUACUGCGAGAGGUGGGCAUCCCACAUCGACGGCCCACUUAGCUUGAUCUUUCGAACAAUUUUUUCCACGGCCUUGUGCUAUCCUAAUUUAAGAAGCACCGAUCACAACAAAACAGCAUGCGCUAACAUGAUGUCUGCUGAGUAAGCGUCCGAGUCAGGAACAUGAGUAUCGACAAAGUUAGCAACACCUCUCCCCGCUAAAGGAAUAAUCUGCCUUAAACGAGACACGUCCCUCAAGCAUCCUCAAUUUUCCUUGUGUUAAUUUACACACGUCGGCCCACGGCGCUAUGGAUAGUUACAUGCAACUCAAAAACCGGAUUGGGUCGCCACGAUGUGGAAGCGCGGAUUGGAAAAAUCACCCUUGUAACCCACAACCCAACCAAAUUAAACUAACAUGACAUCUACUCGGUUUCUUUGAAUUGCAAUAUGCUACUACCAAAGCCACCGGCUUAAAAGGAAAGAAUGCAACAAAAUAGAAAGAUGAUUGUUUGUAGGCAGGAUAUGUUUGAUUCAGACAAAGUAGAUUUGCUUAUGAAUCUUUCUGUCGAGUUUGGCCCAACUUACUGGAUUAAAGUUCAUGGCAUUUGAUUCCGCUAUUCUAGUUUACACACGAUUUCUAGGGAAAAAAUAUAUAUAUCCCUACUUACUCUACAUGCAAUUUGAGAGAGAGAGAGCUAACUAGUCCAUGCCAUCACUAAUUAUUGGCGGUGUGGGGUCGAUUCAUCACCUAGGUGGUUUCUGGCAUGUCGCCGCUAGACUUUUUUCUAUUCACAAAGAUAUCAGAAGGGACAUGUACUGGUCUUAUCGUAAUCGUUGAAAAUUUUGGCUCGUUGUAUAAGAAAACGAUUUCAAACGGAGUGCUUUGUACUGUGUCACGAAAGCGUCAAUGCGGUGACCGACAUUAUGUUAUAGCUGCAUUGCACAACAAUUUCUGGAAAGCUAUCCUAGAAGAUGGGUUUUGUCUAAAAAAAAUCAUAAAAUUGCCUUCAUGACAUGCACCUUCAAUAUAGAUGUGGGUUGUGCACUAUUAUCUUUUGAAUUUGUUCAAUUAAUUUCUUAACUAGGGGCAGGUAUGAUGGGGCCAUUUUUUGUUCCAUUCAAUUCAAUCCUACUCAUCUAGUAAAUCUAGGGGCAGGUAUGAUGGGGUCAUUUAAUAGAAUUUGCUUCAUUCAAUUCAAUCCUACUCAUUUUUUGUUGUAAAUCAUAAUUUGCUUGUGGAAUUGUUUUGAAACAGGUUACAUUUUAGUGGCAUUGCACAAAAGGACAAAACAUUGGUUCCUCCAACAUGCACCUCUCUAAUGUGCAUAUUUUGUGCACAUCAUAGAAUACUUACAAGGAUAUCUACUGGAAAAGCGAGAUGAGUAGAAUCAUCACAUCAAAACAUACUUAUCUUUUCGUUUUCAGUACUCUAUGCUUCAUAUGUUGGUUGUGAAGUGUGCAAAAUGUACAUUUGGGAUUUGAAUUUUUGACAUCCUCAUGUUAUCUGAGACUCGCCCCCGUAAAUGGAUAAUGUAUGCUUGCAUAUUGUAUUUUUGAUUUUGUGAAAUUUAAUUACAGGGUUGGUUAUUAACCAAAAACAUGCCUAGUCCUAAAAAGAAGAAAUGGAUCACUAUUGCAAAGAGGAAAACGCCUUGACUGAUAACAUGGUACAACCAAAGAUCUAAUUAAGACACGUACUAACGCAAUGGAACAAUUCGGAGGAACCGAAAUCACAUAAGUUAUUACUAGCAAAAGGACCCGUACGUUGCAACGGGAGAAAAACAAUUAUAAUCUCCAAUGGUGCUGAUCAUAUUAUGUCUUUAAAAUUUUAGGACAUUUCUUAAAAUGCAUGAACAUUUUUUGAAUUAGCAAAAAUUUUUUUUGCAAUUGCACUCAAAAAAUAACACACAAUUGUUUUUUCAAAAUCAUGGACUUUUAUUGUUUUCAUCAACAUUGUUGUCAAAAUUAUGAACAUUUUUCUGAAUAUGCGAAAAAUUUUACAAAAAUCCUGAGCAUUUUUUGAAUUCACAAACAUUUUAUAUUUUAUUCACACUUUUAUUUCAAAAUUCCAAGUUUUAUAAAUUGCAAAAGUUUUUCAAAGUUCUAAAUUAUUUAAAAUAAAAAAUGGAACAGAAAAAUAAAAAUAAAAAUGAGACUAAAAACAGAGGCACGAACUGUUUUUAAGAUUUUUACACGGACUUUUGUUUAAAAUCGUUGACUAUUUUAUUUUAUGGACAUUUUCUCAAAGUUUAAACAUUUUUUAUAUGCAAACAUUUUUCUAAACUCCUUAGUAGUUUUUGAAUUCUCAAAUAAAUAUGUUUUUUUGGAUAUUUUAUUUCGAAAUUCUCAGUUUCUUAAAAUUAAGAAAAGUUGUUUGAAGUUCUAAAUUAUUUAAAGUAGAAAAGCAAAAUGGAACUGAAAAUAAAAAUAAAAAACUAAACAAAAAACAGGCGCCCACGCAUGGGCCGGUCCAAACAGGCGUGUUGCAUAUUUUUCCAACGCCCAGAGCGUAAUAUAGGAGGUGCCUACAUGGACCGGUCCAGUCCAGAGAUUUUCCUGUUUGAAACGUUUUUUUAUGAGUUAUAUGUGGCAUUUGUGAAGAAUUUUAGUCAACUUUAAGGAUAAUUUGGAUGACGUACGGAAGAAGCACUAUUUGCUUUAUUAGUAGGUAAGGUAAGAUUUUGUUUCGUAUGUAAUCCCUUAUUAAAACCAAUAAAAUGACUCGUAUUAGGAAAUAAGACACAAACUACUGACCGCAUAUGGAACAAUGUCUAGGGUUUUUCUCCAUUUUCAUCCGGCGACGGCGAGGAAAUCCCGGUGACGCUAGAGUCCGGUCCGCUACGCCUUUGAGGACUAGGGUUUUCACCUGGCUCCUUCCAAUGCUUUCUGCCAUAUUUGUGCGUAGAACCAUUUCCCUGACCUGCAAGAUAAAUUCUCGAGGAUAGAUACAAGGAGAAGUUACGAAGACAUGGAAAUUAAGCUAGUAGCUAGUUCUGACCCGUCACGUCUACACGUAUGUAGUCCUAAAAUUGCCGGAGAAAUAACAAGCAAAAUAAAGUCUCGCACCCCUUUCCGAACGAAUUCCACGAGAGUUCCCGGUUCGAUUUAAAUAUCCCGUACUUUUGUUACAAAAACUGACCUGGACUCGACCUGCUUCUUCCUUCCAAGUGGGCAGCGCGAAGGCGCCCAGAAAGCCUGUGUGUGCGUGUGCUACGUCUGUCCGAAAGCAAUAGGCUUCGCUCCUUCCUUGGUUCGCGCCAACCUUCUCUGCGGUUUCCCGCGCUCCAUGCCAGAAGCUGCCUCCUCGUCCAGAUCGAGGAACCCUUCAAACCCUCCCAUGGGUAUAAACCGGCGGGCGAGGGCGACCACCCCAGCCCCAUUCGCCACCGCACCGUACGCCGCCGGCCGAGGGAGACCAGCUAUCUGUCUGUCUGCCGCCCGCGAGCUAAGCUAGCUGGAGAGAGAGCGCGCGCUCGCGAUGCCGUCGUCCAGGCUCGUGCGCAAGGACGGCGAGUGGGGCGGCGGCGGGGUCGCGCUGGAGGUCACCGUGCUGUCGGCCGAGUCGCUGCGCCUGCCGCCCACCUACUCCCCGCUCCCGCGCCGCCUGCGGCCCUACGUGGCGGUGUCCUCCUCCUCCUCGUCCUCCUCCGCCGGCUGCAGCACGGGCGUGGCGCGCGCGUCGUCGGGCGCCGGGGAGCACUCGUGGGAGGACGCGCGCCUGGUGGUGCCCGUGGGCGCGGGGUUUCUGGAGGGCCGCGACGACGUGCGCGUGGCGGUGAUCUCGGAGUCGGGCUGCGCGCGGCUCGUCGGCGACACGCCGCUCGGCUGGUGCCGCGUGCCGGCCGCCGACGUGCUCGACGGCCUCCGCCCGCCGCGCUCGCUCCGCAGGCUCAGCUACACGCUCCGCUGCCCGCGCCGCGGCGGCCCCGGACACGGCGUCGUCCACCUCGCCGUGCGCGUCCUCGGCGACGUCCACGUCGCCCGCCCAGACCCGGCCCCGCCCGCGCAGCCCGGCUGGUGCCGCGUCGCCAUGGGCAUCCCGGUCUCCGGCGCCUCCGCCGCGGCCGUCGUCGGCACGCCGUCGCCGUGGGCGUGGAGCCAGGCGUCGCGAUGACUGCUCGCGACUAGCCGUGGAAGAACGGUGGAACUUGCGCGCGCGGGCGCGGCGACCGGUUCUUGGGUUUGACUAAUCACUGCCCGGAGGCCGGAGCACGCACGUACGUACGUAGCCGCCGGACGCGGAGACGAAAGCGACGGCUGAUUAGUCAAAGCUCAAAGCUAGCUGCCGGGCUGAUUCCUCGCAGCUGCGCACGGACGUACGUGACAGUGUCUGAUUGGACGCGCUCCGCUGCCGGCUGGCCGGCCGUCGGCGGCGGCGGUGCUUGACCCCGACGAGUGGAAUACGGCCGAACGUGCCGGUGUACAUAUAUACACACGUCAUCGUCUAGGGAAGGUUCCUUGCUAGUGAUGGAGGUUAUGUGUGAGGGCAUGCGCAUCUCUGUCGUUCCAAGUGUAAAUUCAGUUGUUCAAAAAAAAAGUGUAAAUUCAGUAAAUACUGGAGUAUGUACAAAGGCUGAAGUGAAGUUUUUAGUGCGAACUAGACAACUUUGGAUGCAACUUUUAUUUUAGUGGAUUAGUUGCUCUCCUUUGAUCCGAACAUGUGAGACGGCGGUGGAUCUAGCUACCGUCCCUCUUCAGCCUUCCCGGCUACAAACCCAGUGACGGAGUGAGGGCAUAUUCUUCAAAAAGUCAAAUAAUUUAAACAUAUUUUCAAAAAACACAAGCAUAUAUUACUACAAUUUUGAAGUCACCUCAACGUAGGCCCACUCCUUUACAAACCUUACACGCCAGUGAGACUUAUGCUAUGAGUAACUUUACACUUUAUCAAAAUGUUAAUGGUCAAUUUAGAAUACAUUUCUUAAUACCAUGGUCAAAAUGGGCUCUUGCUUCAAUUGUCCCUUUCGAAUUGAUCUUUUUUAGACCCUUUCGAACUGAUGUUCUCGUAUCUCCUGCUCCCAGGUCAUGUAUCGCUAUUGGGCCCCCCUCGCCAUGAAUCUUAUCUAGGCAUUGAUAGAGUCCUAGGUCCACCACGGUUGAAAACUCAUAGACAAGUAAAGUUUCUGUCUUUUACGCCACCAAGGAGCUGACUACUUGAUCAAUGCCAGGAUCUAAAGUUAUCCGCACCCCUCAACUUGUAGUUGUAGAUUCUAUUUGGCCUUGCUUCCUUGGAUAACGCCUGAUACCGUUGAGGGCAUCCAUUGGACAUGGACUAGCAAUGUGGAGUACCCGUUCAAAGACAACACAUGUUGGCUAUGAGGUGAUGUGCCAUGGAAUCUCUUGUAUGUUUUGCCUACAUGCUCCCGAUACUGCGAUCGGAAUGUGACCACAUGUACCUAUGGACUCGGCUCACACAUCUCACUUAUCGACCGCCACACUUAUAAAACACAUGGAAUACCAUGAUGCUCUGAGUGAGAUUUUCCAUGAAGUGUCGGUCCAAUGGUUAAAGCUUUUGGAAGGAAUGGUAGAGGUACAACCUUCAUGACACAAUGCCUAACUUAUGUGAAGGGAGCCAUUCAUGGCCUUCAUAUACCUAAAAUCUAGAAAUAUUUCAUUUUACAACCCUCAUUAUGAAUAAACGGGUUUUGGCUUAUUUUACUCCGCUUUUUGUGAUAAUCAUUUGUGACAUUUCACAUAUUUCCUCUCAUAUCACCACAUCAUAUCGUUUCUCUCUCUUCAAAACUAAUACUAAACCAUCAAGUUUCUAUCAAACCUUAUUUAUUUUAGGCUUCAACUAAAAUGCCACAAGAUUCAACAUGAUUUCACCGCCAAAAAAUAUAUUAUUGUAGGAUUUUUAGACCCAAAAAUUGAAAUUGAAUUUUUAAGAAAAGAUUGAGAAACACUUGUGCUUGUAAAUUUAGGCCUAGGGUUAGUUUUUUUAACGAUGGGCUUAAGGUUAGAUGGGCUGGAACCCUUUCGCCAUAGAGGUCAACAUUUGUGGAGCAAACUCUCACCCUCAGCGGACUGGCACGUGAAUAUAUGCGCCAGCCCAAGUAUAUUUUUCACGGAGAUUCCCUUUCCGGUUUGAAGAAAUUCUUUGUUAUGACUGUUUUCAUAUUUUUUUGUUGGUGUUUUUGUUUUUAUAUUAUUAUAUUAAUUGGAUUUUAUUUUUCUUUUCUUUCUAAUUUUUCAUACUUUUCAAAAUUUCUGAAUAUUUUUUGAAACCUAGGAACAAUAUUAAAAUAGGUGAAUUAAAAUAGGUGAACACUUUUUAAAAUUUACAAUAUUUUUCAAAUCAUUAUAUUUUGGGAUUCCGUAACAUUUUCUUUAAAUUAAGGAUUUUUUUUCAAAUUUAUGAUCUUUUGAAAAAUUUAUGUUUGCUUGUACAAAUUUGUGAAUAGUUUUAAAAUCCAAGUUUUUUUUUCAAAAUUAUGAUUUUGUUUUCAAAGCCCAGAUCAUUUGCUUGAUCCUGUAUAUUUUUCUAUUGUUAGAACAUUUUUUGCAAAUAUGCAAAAAAAUUCUUAAAUUGGAAAUCAUUUCCAAAUUCCUGGGGAUUUAUUUUAAUGAAAAACCUUUCAAAACCUUGAUUUAAUUUUGUAAACAUUUAGUCAAAUUCAUGAAAAAAUUUAAAAAUAGAUUUUUAAAAAGAAUUAGUACUUUAAUUUUUUUAUGAACAUCUGGUUCCAACUUAGUGUGUGGGCGAGAAUGGAAACGUAUCUGGUGCACCGGACCAAUUGGUACCACCGGGGCAUCGGACUCCGUUGCACAUUCAAAAAUGUUUCAAAAAAACUCAGAAACAAUUUAGUGCAUUGACACAACAUUGAUGUAUGUCACAAAAAUUCAAGUCAAAAUACAAAACAUUGUUCAGCAUACGAAAACAAAAUUUACAUCAAUGUGUUAAUGGGUCAAAACUGAGGCCCAACUUGUGUUAUGUACUAUUCAGUGGCAAAUUUGUUAUUUUUGUAUGUCGAGCAAUGUUUCAAAUUUUGAUUUGAUUUUUUGUAAAAGCAAACAUUAAUAUUGUACCAAUACACUAAUUUUGUUCCGGAUUUUUGAAACGUUUUUGAAUGUGCAACGGGGGACGAGUGCACCAGUAACACCACUUUCUCUGGUGUACCAGAUACAUCCCCCAGGGGAGCAUGGGUGUGUGUUAGCUCGAUUCCCCGCAUUGGUAGGGGAAUAGGACCUCCCUUAGGCCUUGCUUUGUUAAGGGGGAUUGAGGAGGUUUUGAGAGGGAGUGAUUUCAGGGGAUUGGGUGAAUCCCUUUGUUCCACCCAAUCCUCUCAAAUUCCCGGGGCUUUGCUUCCACUAGUCUUCCGAGGAGGGUUUUGAAACACAUGAAUAGGAAGGGAUUGAAGGGGAACGGAGGGGAUUGGGCUAAGCAAACCCCUCCUACCAAAUGGACGUCCUAGGAUCUGUGGGGUUUCUGGCCCUCCCGGGAAUUUUCCUUUCAAAACCUCCCCAAUCCCCCAUUAACCAAACGAGGCCUUAGAUUUCUUUUGAGGGAAAACCCCCGAUCUCAUUUUAUCCAUACGUAAUAGUGAGUUUUACAUAGCCCGGGCCCGGGAGCUCCAAAAGCCAACAAUGUCGGGUUGGUGCUAAUGCUAAGGAAGCUUGCUCGAUGUUGUGAGCAGUUAGCAUCCACGUUAUCCUUCCUUCUUUCAUAUGUCAUACUAAAAGUUUCAUAGCACUUCAUAUCUCUUGAAUAAUCAUGGAAUUCAAUCCUGUGUUUCCUUCAUGAAUGGAUUGUUCUACUUCUGCACAGCCUAUUGUGAUUACUCCAUUCUGCAGGUUGAUAUCCCUGGCUAGACGUAAUGCCUCACGGCAGGCCAUCGCUUCCAUGCUUGCUAGGUCUGUAACACCAAUAGACACCAGAACUGAAGCCCCCAUGAGCACACCAGUUAUGAUUAAACGAAUUUUGGCUUAUUUGACUCCGCUUUUGUGAUAAUCAACAGUGUCAUGUCACACAUUUUCUAUCAUAUCCACCACAUCAUCUUGUUUCCUUCUCUCGAAAUAGGCUUUCGCCCCGCUAUAUAGAUAUAGCAACCAUCUGAUACAUCAAAGAUCCUAAUGCUCGGAGAGGCAGCAGAAGAAUGCCCAAACAGAAGAAAAGAGAAAUUAAAAAAAAAGAAUGACAACAGAAUCGGCUCGAUGAAAACGAGGCUGAACCCAAACCGCUGCGCCCUCCAAAGAAAUCAACCAUGCUCCUAGCACUUCGGACCAUCGCAUAAUAAGCAGCACCUUUAAAAAGGAAUGUGACGGUGACGACACUGCUGCCCAGAUUGAUCCUUGGGUUUCCCCCGUAUGCGGAGGGGCGUUUGUGAGUGGGAUACCCAACACCCUUCAGGAAGGAACGACGGGCGUCGCCGCGUCGGUGCCAGGCACGCCGACAAGGAUUUCUCCCGUUCAACACAAACCCCCACCCCGACCGGUCUGUCACGCUCCACCAAACGUGCCGCCCACCAACAUGCGCUACCACGAUCUAGGAAAAACCACCGCCGUCUCACCAUGGAGAGCGAAAAGCGGGACCGACGAACCCUAGAGGGAACAACCGGGAACGAGGAGUGGCAGAGUCAGUAGCCACACAAGAGGGGACAACCUCCGCCGCCCUCGACGGUCACCGACCGAACGCAGCAGGGGAGCACACCAGACACGUAGGCCCGCUCGAGUCCUUAACGGCUCGUGAAGCUCCCCUUGGAGUGGACGUACCGCCGUCUCCGCAACCCCUCGCAUGAGCCACUCUCUCCGACCACCGGAGCUGGCGUAGGCGUAGCCGAGCCAGGCCCGCCCAGAACCAGAUCUGGGUCGAGAGAACGUAGCGGCCAACCACCGUGCCAGCCCACCGCCAAGUGGCUGCACCACUACCUCCUCAUCAUUCGGAGCAGCGUCGCCCGAGGAAGAGCCGUCGCGCACCCGCGACGGGACGACCUCCUGCAGCCGUCGAUCCCAAAGCCGGACCAUAGCAGUCGCCUACGCUGCCCGUAGCCCGCGCCGCCAGGAGCCAGAUCCGACCGUCGGUCGACCACGAUCCGCGCCACGUGCGCCUCACCAUGGCAGCCACCACGCCGCCACAAGAACUCCCGGAUCCGAUGGGCCGCCGCCAUCCGGAGCGCUCGGAUCUGCGCCGCCGAGCCCCCGCCAUAGCCUAGCGGCUCCGGCGGCCAGUCGCACCGACCAGGGGGUCCGCGAGGAGGGGAAGGAGAGACCCCGCCGCCGCCCACGCCGGCCUGGCUUCGCCCAACGGCGACUCGAGGCGGCGACGAGGGAGGGAGAGGACGGAGGAGGAGGAACUGGGCACCUGCGACUAGGGUUCCUCCCGUCGCCGCACGGGAGCGACGAGGGAGGAGGGGGGAAAGGAGUUUCCCAGCUCGUUUCCUUGUUUCCCUCUCUUCAAAACUAAUACUAAACCAUCAAGUUUCUGUCAAACCUUCUGUCUAUUUUAGGUAGAACUUCAACUAAAAUUAUCACCGAAUUCAACAUGAUUUUACUGGAAUUAAAUCCAAAAAAAAAUUCGUGCAGUUGGAUUUUGGGACUCAAAAAUUGACCUUGAAUUUUCAAGAAAAGAUUGGGUGCACGAGUGCUUGCGACGCCUACUAUGGUUGAAAAAGAGGUGUGUGUGUGUGUGUGUGUGUGUAAAUUUAGGCUUAGGGUUAAAGAAAAUUAGCAAUAGGCUUAGGGUUAAUGCAUAUAUGCGGGCCGACCCAAAUAGACUUUUUUAGGAGACUCUCUUUCGUGUUUUGGGUAUAUUCUGGAACCUUCCAUGAUAAACAACGAUAAAUGAUGUGAAGUUGUACUGAAGCAGCGACAAGCAACAUGGAUUGAAAAGAAUCGCAACUUCAUAGGAUCAAGUGACUACGGAGUAUAAUUUACAAGAAAGAAUUUCUGUGAACGUCCACUGCAUGCCAGUCAUCCCACCACCACCACCGUAACGGUAUCUACAGCAUUUCACACCACAAACACAGCAAAUCAAAUGGUAUGCCAGCUUCUACGUAUGGCAUGUCCGUAUGUACGUAUAAUGUAUUCUACUCCUGUCAAACUUUUUGUACGUGCAUACUCUGAUGGUCCGGCCAUGACCGUCGGUGCUCAGGACAAGAUGGCAGAGGGGCCGGUGAACGGGGCGCAGUACAGGGGAGCUAUGGCGGCCUCCGGGCCGCCCAACCCGCCUCGGCCGUAGCUCCGGCAUGUGCUCUUCUCCUCCUCCUCCUCGUCCUCCUCCGNNNNNNNNNNNNNNNNNNNNNNNNNNNNNNNNNNNNNNNNNNNNNNNNNNNNNNNNNNNNNNNNNNNNNNNNNNNNNNNNNNNNNNNNNNNNNNNNNNNNNNNNNNNNNNNNNNNNNNNNNNNNNNNNNNNNNNNNNNNNUCCUCGUCCUCCUCCGGGCUGCCGUGGCGGUCCUGGCAGCGGCCGCACCCGCAGGGGAGGCUGCUGCUGCUGCUCUUGCUGAGGCGGUGGUCGUCCUCGUUCGGCGCGGCGGCCGCGACCACGGCCUUCCUGAAGGAGGCGAUGCCGCUCCGGCAGAGCGGGCACGGGACGGCUCCGGCGAGCCCCGGCACCUCGUACGCCUUCAUCACCGUGCACAGGUCCAUCGCGCACUUGAGGCACAGCUCGUGCCCGCACACUGCAUGCACGCCGGUCCAGUCGGAGACGACCGACGUCAGUUCGCCGGAAAUUUCGAAGGAGGAGAAGAAGAAAGUUGCGCGUGACGAAAGAGCAGAGCAUGGCAUGGCACCUACCUUCGGCUGCGACGUUGCAGGGUCUCUCGAGGCAGACAGAGCAGGCGUCGUCGUCGUCGUUGCCGGCGAGGGCGGCGAAGGGGUCCGGCGAGGCGGCGGCGUAGUCCCUGGCGACGGCGAGGAGGGAGGGGAGCGGGAGGGAGAGGUGGGGCGAGGGCGGGAACUNNNNNNNNNNNNNNNNNNNNNNNNNNNNNNNNNNNNNNNNNNNNNNNNNNNNNNNNNNNNNNNNNNNNNNNNNNNNNNNNNNNNNNNNNNNNNNNNNNNNNNNNNNNNNNNNNNNNNNNNNNNNNNNNNNNNNNNNNNNNNNNNNNNNNNNNNNNNNNNNNNNNNNNNNNNNNNNNNNNNNNNNNNGCGCCAGCACGUGCUCCAGCCAGUUGCACUUCCACAUCCGGGCCACGUCCAGGGCCAGCCAGCCGUUGCAGUUGGCGGCCAUGCGGUCGGCGCCGCGGGACACGAGCACCUGGCAGCAGCGGANNNNNNNNNNNNNNNNNUGCUCCCGGCGCCGAUGGCCGCCAUGGGGGCCGCGGCGCAGGGCAGCGUCUGCGCGUGCAGGGACGCCUGCUCGUCGACCAGCAGGUGCACGCAGUCCACGUGCCCGUGCAGCGCCGCCAGGUGCAGCGCCGUGACGCCGCCGCCGGCCCCCCGGUUCGCGUACCGGGCACUGGCGCCCUCGCCUGCGCCGGCCGCGUCCGCCAGCAGCAGCCGCACGCACCGGACGUGCCCGCCCGCCGCCGCCGCGUGNNNNNNNNNNNNNNNNNNNNNNNNNNNNNNNNNNNNNNNNNNNNNNNNNNNNNNNNNNNNNNNNNNNNNNNNNNNNNNNNNNNNNNNNNNNNNNNNNNNNNNNNNNNNNNNNNNNNNNNNNNNNNNNNNNNNNNNNNNNNNNNNNNNNNNNNCGCCGCCGCCGCGUGCAGCGCCGUGCGCCCGCUCAGCCCGUCCGCCUUCCACACCUGAUCCAUCCAUCCAUACACAAGCAAAGAUCGCGAUCAAAUUGGAUUGAUCUGCAGGAACACAACAUGAUCAAAUUGAAUCUUUGGUCCAGUUAGUGGUAGCGUACGUUGCAUCUGAAGGCGAGCAACGUCUGAACCACCUCCCAGUGCCCUGAGCGGCAGGCUUGCAUCAACGGCGUCUGCAAUCCAAUUGUCCACCAAUCAGCAUGUCAAAAAUAACAGGUCAGAUUAUUUUCCACUGGUAAAAACGAAAAGUGCAAAAUUAUCUGAUGGGAUUACAGCAGAGACAAAAUAUAUAUAUAUAUAUAUAUAUAUGAAAGAAUGCAAUUUUCAACAUAAUAUUUUUAUUUUGAGAAUAUUGUUUUUCAUGAUGUUUCUAAAUAAAAACAAUUUUUUGGGCGAACCAAUCUGUGUUUGUAUGGUUAGAAAGAUAGUGGUAUCUGCAGGCCACUAUAGCUUAAAUUUUAUACUUAACACUAGUGCUUGCAUUUUUUCUUGAUCUAGUCCAGGCGUACGCUGAUGUGCGUUUAGUGAAAGGAGAUAUUCAUAUGCAUAACUGAGUGUAUGAGCAUCUGCGUCUGAAUCGGGUUCAAAAAAAUUCAUGCCACAUAUGUUUCUCCAUGCAGGAACCCUAUUUAUUACAACAUUUUUUUCAGAAAGUUGUUCCAUACCAAGCGGUCAGCUUCGUAAGGUACCAUCAAAAAAUGCUAACAGAAAAUCGUUCUAUGUUUUAAAAAUGUGAUAUUCAAAAGGAAAAUCAAUAACUGUAUUUUUCGUUAUUCUGGCGAGGAUUCAGGACCAGGAAAAUAUCUUUCUCCGAUGAACUUUUAGUUUCAUGGAUGGAUGAUGGAACUACCAUUUGUAUUCCAAAUCUUUACUUGUCCACUUUUCUUCAUAAUAGUCCGGUUUUCGAAACACAAGAAAGGCAUUAUUAUCCACCUCCCGUAUUUUGUUGACUUGUGUCAAUUCUUUGGCGCUGGCCAGGCCAGGAGUACGAUGACUGAGGGUUCUACUUUCUGAGAGACCAAUAAUUAAGUUCCUCGAUUGACGUUGUUGCAACCAACCAACUAAGGGCCUUUUUGAUUCGUAGGAUUCUCAAAAUGCAGGAUUAGGAAAAACGUAGGAAUAGAGUGGCAUGUCAUUUUCUACACUACAGGAUUUGGAAGUGUGUUUGAUAGCACAGAAAAAACAAAGGAAUUCUACAAAGAGGUUUGAGUGGAUGAAAAUUUUCCUUCAAAAUGUAGUAUAAACGAAUCCUAUGGAAAAAUUCCAAAGGAUUUCAAUCCUAUGAAUCAAAUGACCAUCGUAGGAAAAAAUCCUAAGGAUCCAAAUCCUCUAAAAAUUCAAUGAAAUUCCUUUGUAUCAAAAGAGCCCUAAAUGACUAAUAAUACCAUACACAGUUUCUUCCUAGUAUGAAGAAAAAUACAACAACACGCUGAGUUGCAUUGACGAUGGAUGGAUCGAUGGACUGAGAACUCUACUGCUCGAUCGGAGACAGACACGAUGAGUUGGUUGAGAACUUGAGAUGGGCAAUAAACACAAGCCAGAACUCUUCACCUCACGCAGACAUGCUCCUACAUUGAUACAUACGUACCUGUCCGUACACGUUCCUCGCGUUCGCGUCGGCUCCCUUCUCCAGCAGCACCGCCGCGAUCUGCACGUAUGCCAAACACAUUCAGAAUUAGCUCGGUAAGAAAUAAGCUGGCAAUUUAAUUUUCAGCAAUGCUACACAUACAUAACUUUUUAUGAGCUUUACAAACAGAUGUAUUUUGAUUAGAGAUUAAGGGGGAUGAGGGCCUCACCCCCUUAAAAAUCAAGGGGAAGGGAGUGGUUAGUUAGAAAGAAAGAAUCUUAGUCAGCAUUUAACCUUAUGUAACUCUUUGUAUGUCUAGAAUAUUUUUUUUAACUUUUACCAACAACGUGCCUACCAGGUUAGUUUUUUUGUUGUGCGGAAAUUAAAUUAAAUCGGAUGUAUGUACAUAUUACCUGCUCCUUCUGUUCCUGAAUAUUGGUAUUUUUAAAGAUUCAAUUAUAGAGUACAUACAAAGUAAAAUGGAUGAAUCUAUAUUCUAAAUUAUGUCUAUGUACAUACAUAUAUAGUACAUAGCAAAAUAUUUAAAAAGAUAUAUAUUUAGGAACAGAAGGAGUACAUAUCAAAAUAUAAGACAUUUUUCAGCUUGUUUAGACUAAAAAAAAGUCUUAAAUUUUGAUACGAAAGUAGCACAUAAGUAUUAAGUUGAUGUGAAUGUAUGCGUGUGUAUAUGAUCACUUGGGUCAGUACUUUGUCAAAAAAAAUAUGAAGUCGGUUGUACUAGACUACGUAUAUGUAGAAGCGUUGUGUGUUAGGUCGGGGGGACAUGUGAUUUGAUAGUUAGCGUAUGUACGACUGCAGAUGGGAACAGUUAACCAGCUGGCUCGCUCGCUCACUAGCUACCCAUCAUGCAUCAACUCAUGUACAUAAACACUGGCUGAGCAUAUAUAUAUACUUUUCGACAAAAUCGUCAAAGCUAGCCAGCCGGACGAUCGACAGGACGCUGCGUCUAAUUAAUUUCUUGUGACUUUGGUGAUGGCGUCCUGACGCGAUGGCCUUUAAAAAAACAUGGGACCGAUUAGCCUUUGCAAAAAUACAUUGACUAAUAAUGCGUCGACAGGGACGACACGUUUGUGCUGCAAAAAUCAAUGUACUGUAGCGCACAUGUGUACUUCGAUUGCACGAGGCAUUUAGUAGUUUUUUUGUACGAUGCCCUAAAAAUGCACCCUACAUUCCACGGAUUCUAUCUUAAUCACAUACGUACCACUCGAGGCGUACACAUUUUGCCUUACUCGUUCCUGGUAAAUACUCUUCACGUCAUAUUUAGAUUUUUCGCAUUUGCGAGGAUCGAACCGGUAAGUCGGUUUCCCGGAAGAAGGAAUGGAGGCAGGGUGGAGCUCCGAUGCCGAAUUGUGGUUGACCCGGAGGCUGGUACGAAGGUAGCGGUGUCGUCGGUGAAGGGAGUCGGGGGUUUGAUGUUUCGAGGUGGGUUGUCUCCUCUGAAAAAGAAGGGUAGUAGGGGGGCUUAGAGAGAUGGCUGGGUGAAGAGGGGAUGAUAUACCGAUCGAGGCGAUGGCUACACAAUGCUUGUCGGUUGGACCAUCUGAAAUGAGAGGAAUGCUUGAGUUUUUAGAGAAAAAAAAUCGAUGCCGCCUUUCUACAUCUUAAAGCUUGUUCAAGAAGAGGCCAAACUUUGGGUUAUCGCCGGACCUAACAUUUGAGUAAGAUCAUGCCACGAGAUUAAUUUCAUAUGUAAUUUCUCUUUAACGGGCUACGUCGUGGAGCCGUUGUUAUGUGCUAUAAACUCCUCCUUCCAUAUUAACGAAUGAGGCGAAUAUUUUGGCUUGUUAUCUCAAAAAAAAAAAGAUAUACCGAUCGAGGNNNNNNNNNNNNNNNNNNNNNNNNNNNNNNNNNNNNNNNNNNNNNNNNNNNNNNNNNNNNNNNNNNNNNNNNNNNNNNNNNNNNNNNNNNNNNNNNNNNNNNNNNNNNNNNNNNNNNNNNNNNNNNNNNNNNNNNNNNNNNNNNNNNNNNNNNNNNNNNNNNNNNNNNNNNNNNNNNNNNNNNNNNNNNNNNNNNNNNNNNNGUGCAUGAUGGCAAUAGGUGGUUUGGCCGGCGCUUACCGAACAAGUUAGGAGGAAGGAGGAGAAGUUGUUGGCUCGAGGAAGAAGAAAACACAACAUCCGUUGGAUACACACCAGGCGGCUAAAGGAUCAACUUGCCCAAAAAAACCAGACAACUCCAACUUGUUNNNNNNNNNNNNNNNNNNNNNNNNNNNNNNNNNNNNNNNNNNNNNNNNNNNNNNNNNNNNNNNNNNNNNNNNNNNNNNNNNNNNNNNNNNNNNNNNNNNNNNNNNNNNNNNNNNNNNNNNNNNNNNNNNNNNNNNNNNNNNNNNNNNNNNNNNNNNNNNNNNNNNNNNNNNNNUACUUGAAAAAUCUGCGUGUCACUGUCCGAUACAGUGAAUGCACCUACCUGGCUGCCUGUAGUAUACCAUCAACUUGGGUGACGUGGGAAAAUCAACAAGUCAAUCAAACGUUUUGAUCGAUCUACCUUAUUACACAUCGGCAUGACAGUAACCCGGCCUGAAAAAUAUCCUACCAAUUAACUAGUGGUGCCAACUUGCGUGCCAAAGAAUGCAUCGCUGCAAUGGUGACUCGCCACUGCCGUCAACUUUUGGCCACACAACCAACAAGUCAUUUUCUAGCAAGGAAAAAUGGGAAACCAUAUAUAGCCGGAGGACGCACGCAUGCGCCUCAAACCAAAUCCGAUAUGGUGGAUUAGGUAGGUUUUCAUGUCGACUCGUCAAUCUAUUCUAUUUUAUCAUCGGUGGUUUGUCUCUGGUUAAGUAAAAGCUAUGGUGGUUAUGCUACGUAGGUGUCCAUACUAAUAAUUAAUCAAGGGAACAAAUCGGAUAUGUUAGUACCUUUCGAGACAUUACUACUAGCAGGGAUCAGUAUGUGGGAUCUGGCUAAUUAAUCCGGACCGCAUGUUUUUCAACAUUUUGUUUCGUUGUACUUCCUCCGUCUCAAAGUUCUUAUCUUAGAUUUNNNNNNNNNNNNNNNNNNNNNNNNNNNNNNNNNNNNNNNNNNNNNNNNNNNNNNNNNNNNNNNNNNNNNNNNNNNNNNNNNNNNNNNNNNNNNNNNNNNNNNNNNNNNNNNNNNNNNNNNNNNNNNNNNNNNNNNNNNNNNNNNNNUUCUUAUCUUAGAUUUGUUUAAAAAUUGAAUGUAUCUAAAUACUAAAAUGUGACUAGAUGCAUUCAUAUGUAGACAAAUCUAAGAUAAGAAUUUUGAAACGGGAGAAGUAAAUUAUUUCAUCUCUUUCGUGCAUGUUCUGAUCCCCGUGACGUGAGCUUGCGUGCAUGGUUAUUCGACAAAACUUUUGAAUUUAAACGGACGCUCCAAGACAACACACAAUCUGUGUUUCACAAUUGCGUUUUUAUUUCCAGGGGGAAAAUCAUUGCAAGGUUUUUUUUUUCGCGCGCCGUAAUGAACUUGUAAGAUAAAAACAAAACAUGUUGAACUAUGUACGCGCCUUAUUUGCAUGGUUUCGAAUUUGAAUUGCACCCGCUGAACUAGCCCAUGCAUGCAGAACGGAAACAAAAUUCGCAUGCAUGCAGGAGGAGGCGCGCGCGCGCACGCGGCCACCGCCGGCGUCGAGAGCGAGCGGGUCGUCGGGCCAUCUCGCCGUCCGGCCGACCGGAGCGCGCGCGUGCGAGGGCAGGUGCACGUGCGUACGUACCUCGUGGUGGCCCUUGGUGGCGGCGAGGUGGAGCGGCGAGCUGAGGUUGCCGAAGGUGGCCGUGCACCGCGCGAGCCCCGGAUCCGCCGCCAGCAGCCGCCGCACCUCCGCCGCGUCGCCGUCCCUCGCCGCCGCCGCCAGCCGCUCGCCCAGCCCCGCGCACCCCAGCGCGUUCCCCAUGCGUAUAGGAUCGAUCGAUCGACGAUGAUGCCUCGUCCGCCUCCGUCCGUCCGCGCUCCGCACCAGCGGCCGGCCGGCGCGCGCCCCGUCGUUAGCAGGAGAUCGAGCUAAGCUCACGGGACUUCUCCGGUCGUUGUUGGCAAAGGAGGUUGAAUCUGGUGAGCUAAGGUGCGCGCUGUGAGCCUAACACUAGCUAGGCCACCAUAUAUAUCUAAAUAUCUGAGAUCGAUUUCUGCCAAUCUCUCGUGCAUUUCUCUGCCUGCUGGCUGGUCUAGAUAGUUUUAUAUGUGCACUCUUCAAGCUAGCUCUGGCUUGGUUAGUGUGAUCAUGACACAUGAGAGAAUUCUUUUUUCCUUCGUCUUCUCUGGCUGAUAUUGAUAUGAUAUCUUGCUGUGAGUACACGAGGCACCAGUGUAUUGAUUAGUUGUGCAUGGCCGCUUUUGCAUACUAACCCCUCUACACGUGUAGAUUCACUUUCACGCCCACUAGGCCUUAGGGAUAACCGUCGCACACCCCUUCCGCCUUUUUUUUUUCUUCUUCUUUUGAGUUGGACGCACCCCCUCCCCCUAUAAAUGUCAUUUUGACUUAAUUCAGCGCGUGCUUCUUUUGGCGCGACAUGUUACCGCUACAUGUAGACUACCUGGUUGAACGAUACAAGUGAUUUGAGAGUCUCAUUUCGAAACGACGUCGAUAACGGGUGAAGUGUUGAUCUCCUAGAGAAAAUAUACGAGACGACAAAUCUCCAAAGCUCUUAUCAACAGAGUGUCGCUUAUCAGCAUGGUAUCGUCCUCGAUUGCAUCCUAUGGUCGAAGCAUGUCCCGAGGAAGUGAAAGUGAUGCACACAUAAAAUUGUAUUGAAAACGCUGUGGGUCAAUUCAUUGUUGAUCAUGUAAAACGGCCCUUACCGUUAAAUGGAAAAUUACAAAGAGUCAACCCUAGUGCUAGCUAUAAGAGUCAGUCGACCUAUGGCACACUUGAUUGUGUGGUGCUAAUAAGUUGGCAUGGAAAAAAUCUUGCUAGCUUCACCGCGUGUCUAAAUCAUCCGCGGCCAAAGAGACCGUGCAAGAUAUAUUCAUACAUGUAUGGUGGUAUGAUCAAUCGAUGUAACUACCUGCCAACCCCACUUAGCACUAACUCACGGGUGCAGCUAAUUUAGAUAGCUGGUGGAUCAAAUUUCUCCACUUGGUAGCAUCAGUUUCCUUCACUUUCUGCCACUUGCAUUUCAUGUCUAUUGACCGAAAGGAAACCCUAUUAUGGUUUUAUCAUCUUCAUUGUAAUCACAAUUUUGUUAAAAGUUUAUUUUCAGGUUAAUAAUUAGUCAAGUCUAUACGAUCAUUUUCAGUGUCUUUCGUGGAAUUACUUGUUUCUCCUGAUAUUUUGUUAGAAAACUUGUGCAUUGAAAGACAUGCCUCAACCAAUUCAACCGGGUUUCAAUUUUCUUGCAAAACAAGAAAAAAAAUCGCAAGAUAACAUGUUGGGUCCCAAUGUCUUGCAGAGAGAGACAAGCCAUUCAGUCAACCAGAAGUGCAUCAAUGCAUAUACUGUUCACUGGUGUGCUCUGAUUUCAUUCAACCACAACCCACUUCAUAUAUACCAGUGUUUAGGAAACUUUUUUNNNNNNNNNNNNNNNNNNNNNNNNNNNNNNNNNNNNNNNNNNNNNNNNNNNNNNNNNNNNNNNNNNNNNNNNNNNNNNNNNNNNNNNNNNNNNNNNNNNNNNNNNNNNNNNNNNNNNNNNNNNNNNNNNNNNNNNNNNNNNNNNNNNNNNNNNNNNNNNNNNNNNNNNNNNNNNNNNNNNNNNNNNNNNNNNNNNNNNNNNNNNNNNNGAAGGUUCCUGACCUCAUUUAGCAAGAUAUGGAAUGAAUGGACACACUGUCAAGAGAGAUAGACAAGAUUUUUUUAUUAAUUAAUCAAUAUAGUCACAAGAGGGCAGCGGCCUUGAGUGAGACUUGCCGAGAGAAAAGCAAGGCAUCCAAUGGACACAUAGAGCAAUCAAUGAUGAUACCUUUCUCAAAUUUCAUUACGAAAAGGGACUUGUUUGGUGGCCAAGCAGUUGGGUAGGCGUUAAGCAAACAAAGUGCUUGUAUGCCACCAUCUUAUUCAUAACAUAUAUAUAAUACAUACUAUUAGUUGGAAAACCAAAUGAGAUAUAUAUAUAUAUNNNNNNNNNNNNNNNNNNNNNNNNNNNNNNNNNNNNNNNNNNNNNNNNNNNNNNNNNNNNNNNNNNNNNNNNNNNNNNNNNNNNNNNNNNNNNNNNNNNNNNNNNNNNNNNNNNNNNNNNNNNNNNNNNNNNNNNNNNNNNNNNNNNNNNNNNNNNNNNNNNNNNNUAUAUAUAUAUAUACAGUAGUUGAAAACCCAAAUAUUAUUAAAAAAAACACUCAAGAGCAAAUAGAAAAUAAGAUAAAAUGCGUCGUCCAUGAUCUGUGAGCCUCAUACACUUGAACAGCUGCACUAUCAUUAGAUUCAUUAGAAGAUAAGGUGGAGCAUACUACUGUUCUCACUUCUGAAGAAUGUACUACAAAAUCAUUUCCUACAGCCCUCUGUACACGUACGACUUGCAGACUUUGAAAAGAGGAAGCAUAUCAGCAUGAAUUUCAUGUCGUAUCACAUAAUGUCCUACCUACCUACCGGCGUUAUUUCAUUGACCAAACAGUGGAGACUGGUGCGUGUCACGUAUAGUUAUGAAGCGUACAAAUUCAAGGGCAUGUUUCAAAAUGAUAAAUUUGCAGAGGGCAGGGUCGCAAAGUAGUAGCACACCACUGAACGGGUCAUCAUCUAAUCUUCAGGGCAGAAAUGGCUAAUUAGUGAUCAGAAGAAUUAAGAAAGUGCUGAUUAUUUAUUUUUAAUGUCAGGAAUAAAGAGCGGCAACUUGUGUCAGCACUCGUGAGUGUUUUUGAUCCGUUGUGGAGUAGUCCAAGGGAAGAGUAUCUUGCUCGUGGGAAUCUCUCUGGAGGUGGUGGAUUCUUGCAAGGAAAGAGAAUCUCCAGUUGCUUCGUCCACGCCAACCUUUGCUCACCAAUCACCCGGUUGCAUUUCCGUGUCAACUUGACCUUCUACGCGGAUAGGGUUUAAUAGAAGACAGUUUUUUUCAAAACUAAUUGCGAUCCCUUGUCUUAUAAUAACUCCCCGGGUAUCUUUGAUUCGGAGAAUUUUUUAAUAUGAAUUUCAACGAUUGCUUCAGUAUAUCUUUGAUUCGAAGGAUUUGUGGAAACCACCACAAGAAUUAUGGGACGGAGGGAGAGCAUACGAAUAUUUAUGAAGGUUCUCUUGCACUUUAUUUUAAAUUUCAACAAUGGAUGCUUUCUUUAUGAAUUCAUAAUAAAUCAUCAAAGGGAUAUACAAACACAAUAACUAUAAACCGGGCCUCCGCACACUUAUACACACCUUCAACGUCACACAACACACACACACACACACACACACACCGCGGUGGGAGAAAAGACACACCACCAAAAACACAACCUAAAAAAGAUUCGACAAUCCCAGGCUUUCGUCCGUAAGUGCUAAACCAUUGCACCCCGAGACAAUACACCACGAGUUGUCAUUGUACUGGCAAGGCCGUGAUAAUCCUCAGCAAAUUGCCACACACCAUGUUCAUGAUACGACAUUGCAACGUAGGAUCGCCGCUACCAUGCUUGGUCUCAAUGCCUCAGCUACCCCAAAAAGGGCACUGAUAAGACAUGGAGCGGCAUGUGCAGCACGAACAUGUUAUCAUCCACUAGCCCCUCCCCGUCCCGUCCCCCCGCUAACCAAUGCAACUCCAAAAUGAUGCUCCCAAGAGAGAUAAACGACACCAUUGACAUCAACUACCAAUCGGAGUCAUCCUGACCUAGGUUUCCCUUGGAGCAACACGUAGGUACGCGAAAACAACAUCUAUUGGUGCCAAAAGGAGUCACCAUCGCCAUCCUCAGAAAUAUCCGAGCACAACUAUCGACCAUGAUCUCGUCGCAGCCGGACAAAAUCCGUCCUGCGCCAUGCCGACUGAGAUGGAACCACGCCAUCGUCGUGUCCGCCCGCAGUCCUGCUAGGUUAUAGAUCACACCAGUGUGCUACCAUCCACCGCUGAGAAGCCUUAGACACGUCUGCACGCCUAGCUAGCCAGGCCAGAACUACGGCCCACCUCCGACGUCGCACAUCUGCGGUACUAUGUCGCUCUUGUCAUCCGCAUGGGCCCAGCGCCACCUCGACGAGUCACGGACCUUCACUUAAAUGAGCCACCCCUAGGCCGCUCGUGUUCCUAGCCAGAUGUUGAUAAGGAACCAUGUUGAUGUCGACGUUGUGUGGUCUUUACUCUCCAUCGGCGGUGAGGGGCAAAGGAAGUGGGGUGGUGCUUGGCAUUAACAAAAAUAGUGUGCAUGAAAUUAUUCUUGUAAUACAGUGGCAAACAAAAUACUACCUCCGUCCUGGUUUAGUGGUUAUCUUUGUAUUUUGUCCCAAACUUUGAUUUCAGAUUUAACUGGCAAAAUGUCCUGUGCGCUGCAGCAAAAGAAAAAACAAUUUAUAAUCUUGAAUGGUCAUGAUCACAUUUGGUUGCAUCAUCGAGAAACACCAUCACUCUCAUUUUCAAAUUGUGAAUAAUUUUUUAAAUCAUGAACAUUUAUUAAACUCGGGAAUAUAUUUGGAAUUAUGAAUAAUUUUCAAAUGCGUUAUAUAUACAUUUAUAUAUAAAGUAUGGUUCCCAAGUGACGAAUAGUAUUAAUAUACGUUUAUAUAUAAACUAUGGUUCACUUACAAUUUUUUCAUAGAACUCACUUUAGAGUAUCUUAGAUACAUUAUAUGAACAUACUAAAAAUAAUAAAUUAGUAUAUAUACUGUCAUAUGGUAGUAUAUGAGGCAUGGAUGUAACUGCACCCCUGAUAGUAGGAUACAUAUAUAAACACACUAUUAUUUGGAAACCAAAUGAUAUAUAUACUAUAAAAAAUAAAAUAAAAUAAGUUAAAUUAAAAUAAAAUGAAUCAUCCGUCAUAAAAUAUAGCAUCCCUUGACUCCACGAGGGGAUUUCCAAUGUUGACCCAUAAAUAUGCUCCGACAUCUGUUUAUGGACAGGGGAACCAAUCCGCAGACACGGGCCGCCCAUCCAACGCUACACGCAUACAUCUGACCUCAAUUUUUUUAUUUUUUGCACGUUCAAAUAGCUGCAUAUAUAAUCUAAAAUAGUUCAAAUGUCCAAAUACAGCGGUAGUUCUAAAUUUUUUUUAAAAUAUUACAAUCCAACAUUGUUGUCCCCCUUCACCGCCCGCAUACGCUCAAUCGGAUUUUCAUUCUGUUACUCGUGAGUUGCUUGAUCCCGAUUUUGUUAUGCAUUCGAACAAUCUCUUCAAAUAUGGUCGGAUUUUGAUUGGAGAGUUUGAUUUGACCACUCAUGUCCUCAAAUUUAAGACCUGCGGCAUCAUCCUCACCCUCAUCCUCCACGACCAUCUUGCACAUGAUCACACAACAGUUCAUUACCUCACACGUAGAUCAUUCCACCUUUAUCUAUCUAGGUUAUCCUUCUUUCAUAACAAAGCAGAAUGUGAUGAUCAAUCCCUCUAUUAUGAGAUUCAUGUUUAUACCGAUGUCAUUGUAUUGGUUGGUGCCAUUUCUUCUCUUGGAGGCAGGUGUCGAUAUAUUGGGACAUGGCAUCAUCGUAUUCAUGUUUUCCAUACUGCACCAUAUUUCCGUAGAACCUCGGCAUGAUGCAUUGUUGCAAAAAAAAAAAAGGUGGAGAGUCAUUGCUGAAGUUUUUCAGUUUAUUUCCCCUACUAAUAUAUCUGAAUUAUGUGAUCUAUGGAACAGAAAUGACAAAAGUCUGCUAUUGGUAUGGCAUGCAUUGCAUCCAUCUAGAGCUUAUGGAGAUCGCCAAAUGAUUUGUGUUUUCAAGGAAAAGAGUGAAUUUGAUCAACAUGGCUUCUAUCUGAGGUACCAUUCCAGCUGAUGUUGAUGCUUAUGUAAUACAGUAGUUAGCUCCUGUCUGAAUUUCCUUAUGCUCAUGAUGUUGGUUGAUCAGAGAGCUUACUAGCGCAGCUACUUCGGUUUAGCCCCAGAAUUGUGAAUAGUCAUUAUGUGUUAUUAUUAUUUUUUGCCUCGUUUUAGGGCAUCCCACAGUACAAGGUAGUAUUAAUAAUAUUCCACAAAAAACUCACACCUACUGUGCAUGGUGUACUAAUCCUUGCGACGGCAUCGCAGGACACAAGGACGCCUAUCCUGUCCUGCAUUGACAUGAUAAAAGAACAUCGACUAAAUGAAUUCCUGCAUUGACAUGAUAGAAGAACAUUGACUAAAUGAAUGGAUGAACGACACCAAAUGGAGCCGCUCUCACCCUCAAGGCCGCCUGAAGACUAAGCUCUGGCUACGCAGAGCCAGAAAUGAAACCAGUGGACAUGCAUAUCACAUUGUGCAAACACACAGCUGCGGGUGGUAGUCAUGAUUAUUCGAACACAAGUCCGUUGACGUUCAUCCGUGGAGCUGUCGGGGGGCGGAUGGCGUUACACGGGUGACUCAAGGAUUGCCGGUCUUAUGCAUCUUACAGGGGCAGGCAUAAAACACAAGAAGGGAACCAAGCAAAUUCUUUCUUUUCAGUAAAUAGAUGCUAAUGCUGCUACGGCUGCUGCUUACGGACAGUUGAAGCGCGGCGUGGCGUGGGUCGAUCACAUGGCGUUGAUCAUCCGCUUCAUCUCCGCGGUCCUCCUCGGGUCAGGGUCCGCUAUGGCCCGCUCCGUCAGCACGUGCUUGAUCCGGCACAUCGAUCUCUUCACCUGGAAGAAACAAACAAUAGCAGGGCGAGUCAAGUGCCGCCUAAGGAACAGAGAAGAUGAAUUGGCAAAGAAAAAAAAACUGAUGCUUCACACUAGUAACAAGCUUUUCAAUUCACGUUGACGCUUAGCAUGAACCAAACAGAGGACAUGGUAUCCUAUAAUAAAGCAGUUCAUAUCUCUAGAUUGAAAAGUUCACCAACAAUAUAUUGUUGACCAACUGUUCACUCAUUAUUUCCUGGAGAGCAAGUACCCAGCACUAAACUGUGUCUUGAACAGAGAACGCGCCUUGGAAAAAAAUACGCUGAUGAAAAGAAAUAUUGAGUCACGUAGACACUUGAGAAGAACCAAAUGGAAGGAAUGAUGUCCUAUAAAGCAGGGCAUAUCUCCAGAUUGAAAAGUUCAUCAACAACAUAUUGUUGACUAACUAUUCAUUCAUUAUUUCUUGAAAAGCAAAAGUACCCAGGGCUGAAAAAAAAACAGCAUUGAAAAGUGGCCAAAUUUGCACCAAUGUUGAACACCACCAAUAAAUUAUCAUUUUAGAAAACAAAACAAAAAAAGUUACUGUCCCCAAGACAGACAUGGUUUCAUAAAUUUCUCUCUAACUGUGCAUAAAGAAACUGUUUUCCAGCAUGUCCAUGCUGCAUAACAUGCGAAAGCAGGAGAAUUAGUAGUGUGUUGUUUGUCGAAAAGGAACGCGUUCUGGGGUUCAGUUUAUUAAGAAGGCCAUCGUUUCUGAGCACCAUUGCAUACUCCACAAUAUCUCUGACCACACAGUUUGCCUGUCCGAACCAAGGAUAUUCAAGGACAGUAAGCUUUAAUGAAUAUUCAUGAAGACAGCGGCUUAUUUUGGUCACUUCCAUGCAGUACCUUCACAGGAGCAGUAGAAUACCCGAUGUCACCUCUGAUUUUGAAUCCAUCAUGAAACUAGAGCUACCGAAUUGCAGUUGUAUUAGGUAGCAAAAAAAGAAAAAGAAGACACAAGUAUCAUAAAUAUAUGAUUGGGUAGAGAUGGCAGGGGUUCAGAGAUGCAACAUUUUUGACUUGUACUGGGCAUAGCUUGGCAUCCACAGGUGGAGUGAGCAAACAUGUUACAAUAAGCAGGAUGCAAUUAUUGGAUGAAAUCAAGAUCUGUUGCACGUGGAACCAAAACAUGCAGUUAAUUGCUCGAGGAACGGCGUCAGGUUGUGGCGCCUAGUGGAUAUACCUUGGAAAUGCGCUCCGGGUUUGGGAAACCCAUACUCUCUGAAGCUAGCAUCUGGCGCUGGGACAUGAGCAUGUUCUUCUCCUUUAGCAGCACAUACCAUAGCUUAUGAAGGUCGUCCCAGGAUUUCAGGCGCAGUUCAGAGGCCUUCCAGCCACGACCUAUCAAUAUCAAUUAAGGGCAAGCAAAAGGCAACAACACUCAUUAGCUUUCCUGACAAGAAUGAUGUGUAACUACAUUUGCUCGUACCGUUCGUAGCAAAAGCAGGCUUGAGACAUGGGAAAUGUAAGAUCCUACCUACUGCUACGACCUACGGCGUGACCUUACGCACCACCGUGACAAAAUUCAGGAUCAUCGCAAAGUACCGGAGAGUAAGUAUAUGGAAGCAAUAACAUAGUAGUACUGGCAUGAGAUUGGUGGCGUCGCAUGAUCCAUGAACCGGAUGUGUCACGACGGCCUAUCCGUCGAAAAUCCGCCAACACCCUCGUAGAGUACAUGGGAUGGGAUGGGAUGGGAUGGGAUGGGAGCGGGGAGUGAUGUUGGUACCGUAGUGGGGCGCGGGCUGGUCGUCCGCGGUGCUCCGCUCGACCUCGAAGAACUCCUCGAGCGGGUUCUGCGCCUUCCUCGCCACCGACGUCGAUGCGGCGGCGGAGGCGCCCUCGGGCGCGGUGGAGAAGAGCCGCCUCGCGAGCGUCCUCGACAGGGAAAGCAUGGCGGACCUGAAGCGGGACGGGUCUCGUCGGGGGAAGAGGAGAUGCCGGCGGGCGGGGCGGCGGCGGCGGCUGGGACCGAUCCACGGGAACGGAAACAAGGGUUUAGACCCAAAACAAAUGGGUUCUGGGCCGGAUUUGGACCAGGAUGGUAACGAGUCGGGCCGAUUCAGGGCUUUUUUGUUUUUGCAAAGCAGCCCCGCGCUUUCAGUCGAAUCAUGCCAGCAGUACAACCUAUCGAAUUCACAUCAAAAAGAAAAAAAAGUGGAAUCAUGCCCGUAAGAAUUUGUUUCGCUCCUGUGCCCAAGAUGCCCUCUUUUUUUUUUGCGGGAUAAAGGAAGUUUAUUAAGAUGUCAUAGUGUUACAGUCGAGAGGCCAUAAACCAUCAAUACAAGGUGGAACCGAACGCAACCACACAGCUGUAGUUCGCUCAAAACCCCAUGAAUAAGCAAUGCUACACAUACUAAAACUUAGGACCUGUUCGGCAGUCCACUAGCUUCUCCCAAUUACAGAAUCUGCGGAGCGUCUGUUUGCUCACUCCAAAAAGUUUAACUGCAGCUCCGUCCGCUCCUGGAGCGAGCCAUGGAGCGGAGGGUUACCGAACGCGCCCUUACGUGAUGAUUUUACGUAAUAGAUGAUGUGAAGGUAAUUAAUUAGGCUAGGAUUAGUGGAACAACAAUACUGCACCUAAACUAACGUAGCUGUUUAGGUGUCCUCUUUUAAUUGGGUUAAUUAGGAAAGGGCCCCACCCACUUGAAAUCUGGAGGGGGAGGAGAGAUUAUUUAAGAAAGUUAAGGCCCUGUUUGAAACCAUCCAGAUUAUAUAAUUCAGUUUUUAUAAUCUAUUUUGUCUUCAAACAGGACAGCUUAUGGUGUAGAUUAUAAAAACUAGAUGGAUAGAUUAUUAAAAACUCAUAAUCUACUCUAUACCAGCUAAAAUCAGAUUAUGGAUUGCUAAUGACCCAUUACCCUUGUAAAGUUGGAGAUAAUUACAUUCCUACCACCGCCACCCUCCUCUUUUAAAAAAAAACAGAGGGCAGACAGGUCAUUAUGCAAUGUACAACCUGGAUUACAGUUUAUAUAAUCUGGCCUCCAAACAUGGUCACCUAGAUUAUUUUUAUAAACCAGAUUAUAUAAUCUAUCUUCAUAAUCCAGAUUAUCAUAAUCUAUUAUGGUUCCAAAUAGGGCCUAAGUAGCAUUACAUAGAAGUUUUACGUAAGUGUAGCAUUUUUGUUAGUGGAAAUAGAAGAUGAAGUGAUUUGCAUCAAUGGAAAUUGUGUCACUUUGGGCCUGCUUGGUUCACAGCCUAGGGUUGCCACGCCUAACCUUAGUCAUGCCAUAAUACUUUAGGCAUGUGUUUGGUUCAUUACCACACUUGUAUCUUGCCACACUUUUAUAGGUAUAUGGUCCAUAUGUCAUACACUUAAUUUUUUUGUCAAAUCUUGUCACAUUUAUGGUGUUCAUUUUGUUAGCCAUACUUUUUUUGACAGCCACACUUUGCCUAAGGUUAGUUGUGUAAAAAUUAGUCAUGAACCAAACAGACCCUUGAUGUUUAUGCCCUCUUUUAUGAAAUUUUGCUUUUUUAUAUCUUCAAGUUGUUGGCUCUUAUUCCACCGUUUUAUGCGAGGCAUUGAUGAAGCAAACCAUUGGUUAGGGUUUUCUUAUCAUACACUUUUCUUUGUAGGGUUUUUUCAUGUUUUAUCUAUUUUGUUGUAUCGUUAAGCAUUGAUUGUAAAUUCUAAAUUUUUCAUGCAACUGGACCAUAUUUGAUAGUACGAGGUAUCUUCUGAGGUAAUUAAAAGCUUUAUGGACAUUAAGUUUUUCCUUCGCGACAAUUCUUUUUUCUUAGGACUGGGGCUUGUUUUAAUCCUGGCUCCACCACUAUAUGUUUGUGCUAUCCUAACUCCAGCAUAAAGCCGGAUACAGUACAACGCGUGAAGAUGUUUCAAGAUCUCACACCGUCAUGCGUGCUUUUACCAGACGAAAUGUCCCCGCGACAUUGGAGUGGGUCAUGCAAACAGAGGGUGCUUAGCCCCUUCCCCUUCCCUGAUGGGAGGAGACAUGGCGACAAUGGACCCGCGGAUGAAGGCGUGGUACAUGGCAGAGCGCCACCUCAUCUUGAACCUCAUGACAGGACCGAUGGCGACCACAACCCCGCCCACGCCAACGCCGAGCAUUGCAACUGCGCCCACAACGCCAACGCCAAUGGCACCCAUGCCAAUGCCGAGCACUGCAACGACGCCCACAACGCCAACACCAGCAGCACCCACGCCAACACCGAGCACUGCAACAGCGUCCACGCCAACACCAACAGCACCCACGCCAACACCGAGCACUGCAACAGCGUCCACGCCAACACCGAGCACCGCGCCUACGCCGAGCUCUCCCACACCCUGCAGGAGAGGAGCUUGUCGUUUGAGUUUCAUAUCUAUGAUUCCUAUCAUUUUGAUCACCGGACUUUAGCUAUGUUCGAUCACCUACCUGUGACAUGAUGAUCGCCCACCUGUGGCAUGGUGACUGCCGAAACUAUGUCGAGCUUUUGGUAGCGAGAAAGAGAACUUUGAAUUUAAGUAUGUUUGCGGCUGAAACCCGGGGGAUGGCUGAAAACAUGCGCCCCUACAAGCUGAAAGGUUACGCUAUGAAAACAUGCGCCCCUACAAGCUGAAAGGUUACGCUAGGGGACCAACCGGCUGGAGAUGGUAUUAGCAUUAUAGCCUUAUAGGACAUACUCUCUCCGUUCUUAAAUAUAUAUCCUUUUAAAGAUUCUACAUACUUAUAUAUAUAGACAUAUUUUAGAGUGUAAUUUCUUUCAUUUUGUUCUGUAUGUGAUACAAUAGUGAAAUCUCUAAAAGACUUAUAUUUAGAAUCAGAGGGAAUACAACACAGGCAGAUAACAGGAUAUUCUGCCUCACAGUUGUUCUUGUUGAAAAGACACCCAGAGUUCCAAACAAACCAUAUAAUGGAGCAUCAGUCAAAAUUUAUCGCUGCCAAAAUUUUGGAAGCAUUUGUCCGCGCUAUCCUAACUCUAGCGUAAAGCGGGAUACAGUUUUACAUUAAUGCGUGAGGAUUCAAGAUCUCGCACCAUCUUAGUCGUUUUCGCCAGACGAAAUGUCCCNN